rnacentral:lncRNA from 1 species
UUUUUUUUUUUUUUUUAGGUCUUUUUCCCAUAUAAAGAGUGUUAAGCUCUAAUUCCUCUAUUGAAUUGCAGGUUAACGGUCUCUUCGUCAGGUCUACUUCACACGUUUCUAGCUUGGCAAAUGAGCAAGAAAAAAUUGUAAAAGAGAAGCAUGACCUUACGGUGGAGAAGAACCGGCUGAUCCACGAGAAAUGGGCUCUUCAAGCCGAGAAUGAACAACUUAAGAUUCAACGCAAGGAAGCAGCCGCAUCUCGUGAGGCCGAGAUCGAAAAGAACCGAGCAAGGCUGGAGGGUGAGCACCGCGAGCACAUUGCUGCACUUGAGUCUGCUCACGCCAAGGAGAUAGCGAUGUGGCGGGACAAAUACCAUGGUGAAAUAAUCAAGAAUGAUGAACUAAAUGCUCGUCACGAAAUUGACUAUGAGCAGUGGCGGCUCGAGGUAAAGGAGCAGGAGGAAACUCUUAAAGGAGAGAAAGAGGAGGCCAUCACCGUCAUCACGGCUGAGUACAAAGCCAAAUAUGACGAGUUGGUGGUUAAAUCUAAAGAACAGAUCGCCAUGCAGGUGAAGGCUCAGGUGAAGGAGAACUUGUCCUCUAUUCUUGCUGCCAAGAGAUUGAGGAUGACGCCUUCAUCUCCGAGUGCUUCCUCCCCAAAUCCCCAGCCUUGAGUUGUAAUCCGAUUAGUUUUCCGGCAACAUUCUUAUGAAGUUGUAAAACUUUUAUAUUAGCAUUUUGAUCUUCUUGUAAAACUUUUAUAUUUGCUAUCAAUUUGAUGCUACCUUUCUGGUGCUGGUUUCUCAUGUGUUAACAUUAGGCUAUACUUCUACUGAUCCCGUCGUCACGGUUCAGUAAGUGUAACCCCGUUAACACAUUAGCGCUAUUGCUCUUCUCACUUAGAGGCACCCCACUGUAUUGUCUAAGCCAAACUCAGUGGGGAAGAGAUAAUCAUAUAGAGACUUUAACAUUUAGUUAACGGCAUGCCCCGCCAAGUCUACACUUAUGUUAUCUCUCACCAACCUUAGUUGGAUUCCUAUUUUGCCUGACCUUUGGCCUGGUCUCAGACAAAACUAUAUUGCAACUGGAUAAAACAAAAUCAACAGAAAUGAAUUUCUACUAUUUCAUUGAAACUUUAACAAGUUACUACUUUCAACUUUUGGCGAUUCUCUCUUAAUGACAUCUACUAUCUUGUUGAACUAAUACAUCUCUACCUCCUAGGCAUAGUAUUUCUUUAAAUUGCUGAUACUCCAUGGCUUUUCAAGUGGGGUACCGUUUUGGUAGGUCAAGUAGUAUGCUCCAUUCGUUCCCACCUUGUCUACCACAAAAGGCCCUUCCCAGUUUGGCUCUAGUUUGGCUGGAGGUGGAUUCUGCUUUCUUAGCACGAGAUCCCCUGGAACAAGCCUUCUUGGCUUGACCUUUUUGUUGUAAGCCUUCUCUACUUGCCGGUGAUAGUUCUCCAACCUGAGCUUGGCGCGCUCCCGGACCUCCUCUGCUAAGACCAACUCUCUCUCUAUUAUCUCGUUGUUCUUUCCAAGGUCGACUACCAUCCUCCUAGCCGUAUGCACCAACAUCUCUUGUGGGAUCACGGCUUCCAUGCCAUAGGUGAGAGAGAAUGGAGUCGCCCCUGUUGACCUUCUUGGUGUCGUCUUGUAGGCCCAUAGCACUUACCAAAGAUUUUCAUACCACUUUUCUUUUCUAUCUUCCAGCUUCUUUUUCAAUACCUCCAGUAUGGCUUUGUUUGAUGCUUCGGCCUGCCCAUUUCCUUGCGGGUGAAAUAGUGUUGCGAAGAGUUGCUUUAUGUUAUAACUUGCCAGAAACUGCUUCAACUCAUCUCCACGGAAUUGCGCACCGUUAUCCUCCACUAUAGCCCUUGGUAACCCAAAUCUGCAGAUGAUGUUAGUCCAGAUGAAAUUUUUAACUUCUGUCUCUCUGAUCCUUCGUAACGGUUUUGCCUCAAUCCAUUUUGUAAAGUAAUCUGUGGCCACUAUUAGAUAUUCUCUUCCUUGUGACUUCUCCAGUUUUCCUACAAUAUCAAUCCCCCACAUCGAAAAGGGUCACGGGUUACUAAUGAAAUGGAGGUUCUCGGCUGGGGUAUGUAUCAAUCUCCCAUGAACUUGACAACCGCGACACUUCUUAGCAUAGUCGCAACAAUUUUUGUACAUACUUGGCCAGUAAUGCCCAUGUAUCAUUAUCCUGUGCGCCAUGGCUCGUCCCGGUGAAUGACUCCCGCAACUUCCAUUGUGGCAUUCCGCCAUGAUCCCUUCUUUUUGGGAUGGGUGUACACAUUUCAAUAACGGCCCAGCCGGUGAUCUUCUAUAUAGAUCUUCCCCUAUCAUAGCAUACCUUUUGGACUGUUCCAAAAUAGAUCUGGCUUCUGUUUUUUCUUCCGGAAGAGAACCAUUCUUUAAGUAGGUUGUUAUGGGAUCCAUCCAGCUUGCUCCCAUGCUCUGAAUGAGAUUGACAGUCACCUCCUCCACCUCUAUCAUUGGCUGAGAUCUCUACAUGAACGUUAUAGUUUUAGUUGAAUUUUCUUUUGUUGCCGUUGCCAGGUAAGCCAAGGCAUCAGCAUGUCGAUUCUCUCCCCUAAACAGAUGCACAAUCACUACCUUUGAAAAUUUAGCCACACUCUUCUUCAAUGCCUCCAAGUACAGCGUCAUCUUCCCAGUUAGAGCUCUAUAUGCCCCGUUGAACUGUUCCACCACCAGCUUUGAGUCAGUAAAAACCGUUACCUCCUUUGCCUCUAGCUUCAGCAACACUUCCAAGCCUUUCAGUACUGCCUCAUACUCUGUCUCAUUAUUGGUAGCCGGAAAAGCUAAGUUUUCUGCGAUCUCAAUCUUGGUGUCCUUUGGCGUUACCACUACUAUCCCGAUUGCCGAUCUCCCUUUAUUUACUGAUCCAUCUGUGAACACCUUCCAUCCCUUCACGUUUUUCCAACCGGUAUCCUGAGUUUCUAGAGUCUCAAGUUGCUCCUCCCCUUGCAUUUCUAUAUCCCCAGUUGCGUCCUUCACUGGAAAAUCUGCCAAGAAAUCCGCCAGUACUUGGGAUUUUUCCGCCUUCUUCGGUUCAUACUGAAUGUGAUACUUACUCAGUGAAACUGCCCAUUUCUCCAUUCUUCCAGAACGCUCGAUCUUAGGCAUCACUUGAUUGAGUGGGAGGUUUGAAACCACUGUGAGACUAUAGGCUUCAAAAUAAGGUCUUAACCUUUGUGCCGCAAAGAGUAAGGCGAGGGCAUACUUUUCAACUCUUGAGUACCUUGUUUCUGGGGAAGUCAUCUUUUUGCUGAGUAAAUAAACCGGGUUCUCCUUUCCGGCCUCUCUUCUAGUUAGAAUUGCCUUCAUUAGAUGAAUCCACUCUCUCCCCAAGAUUGCAUUGUACUCUGUUGGCGCAUCUAUGACCACAAACCUUGACAUGACAGUUCUGCUGUGUGCUGUAACCGGUAAAACUAUCUCUCCCACUGGUUGCACUGCUCCCCCAUUGAAUCCGUAAAUGUCUCCGAUGAAUUUGCCAAACUGCUUCUUUCUAGUUUCAUUUGAUCCAAGCCCCUGGUGAACAAAACGUCUACUUCACUUCCACAAUCUACUAGCACUUUGGUGACAUUCCAAUUUCCAAUGAGUAUGGAAAUGACCAAUGGGCAUUGUGUGGCGUGACUACUCCUUUGAGGUCUUCCUCUGAAAACCCGAUCGGAUCAUUCUGAUGCACUGGCCUGCCGUUUCGAAUGACUGGUACGGCUCCUACCGUUUGCAGGUCUUCUCUUAUCUGCAUGACUCUUCGUAUCUUCCUCCUGACCUCGUUCAGGGACUCUCUAACUCCUUCUAAGAUCAUGGUAACGGUCCCUCUGACAUGUAUUUCUGCUUUGGCUUCCUCCCUGUUCUUUUCCACUAUAAAUUCUCUUAAAUGACCCUCCUCAAUCCAUUUCUAGAUCAAGGAUUUGAACUCAUAGCAAUCCCCAGUAGGGUGGUUGUAAGUCUGAUGAUACUCAUAGAAAGGCUUUCCCCUGACCGUCCUGCAUCUUACCGAUGGCUCCUGGAAAUACUUUCUUCCUCUUAUUCUCUUCAAGAUUUGGUCCAGCGACAUGGUGAGUUGCGGUAGCGGUUUCGGUGGUGUCAGUUUUCUUGGCGAAGUAUCUCUAUCUUCCCUCCUUUCUCUUUUGUUCUGACCUCCCGACCCAUCUCUGUUUCUCCUGCUGCCGGACUCUCUUGGUGGUGUAUCACUUCGUGAGCUAGCUUCUCCUUUCUUUCUUUUGUCCGCUACUGUGUUAACGGUAGCCGACAACACCUUGGGGGCUCUUCGUGAUGCUAUGUCUUCUAGUCUGAUGUACUUUUCUGUUUUCUGAAAAAGUUCAUCUAGAGUCGCCAUCCGUGAUGACACAAUUGAGUCAUAUGCUGGAGAUUUCUUACUUAUGCCUUUCUGAAAUGCUACCACCGUUGUUCUUUCAUCUACUCCGCCAUCUGUUCUCAAAAUCUCAUUUUUGAAGUUAGUAACAAAUUUCCUAAGAGACUCACCUGGGGCUUGUUCCAAAUCAAACAAUGAUGCUAUAUCUGCAACCUGCCUCUUCUGAUGAAUAUAGUGUUUCACAAACAUCUCACUUAACUGAGCAAAACUUGACACACUCUCUGGUGAUAAACUGAGAUACCAGUCUGUAGCGUUGUCCUUCAGACUGCUAGGAAAUAAUCGACACCACAUCCCGUCAUACUGGCUACCUUCCGAAGCCGCCAUCUUUUGUUUGAAAUUGUUCAAGUGCUGCACAGGGUCAGUUGUUCCGUCAUACUCAUUAAACUUAGGGGGUUGAAACUUACUUGGGAACCCAUGACGGUAGCAUACUUCAGCUAAUGGCCUCUUGCCCAAUCUCUCCAAGUCUUGAGUCACCUCUAUGUUUUUUCCUUUAGUCUGCGGCCUCAUGUCCUCUUGGACCUUGCAUAUCAUAUCGAAAAGUCUGGUGUACGGGUCACGGCCGGAAUCUCUUCGUCGUUCACCCCCUCCUUUCGAUUCCCUUCACGAGCUCUUACCCCUGAUUCACCUGACCCUUCUUCUUCAUUCACCCUUGGGCCUAGAAUCAGAUGCCUUGUUCCUCCUUCCCCUUCUCCUGGUGUUACUCCUUCCAUAGGUCUGCGUAGGUUUUCAUUUCUGACCGCCUCAUUCUCUCCCUCCUGGAGGUUUUGACGUUCCAUCUCCUCCAUUCUUCCUAGUUGCUCCCUCAGCCUUAAGUUUUCUUCCCUCAACCUGCUUGUCUCAUCUUCUCCUUCCUGGAGGGGUUGAGGAUGACCAACCUGAGGAGCUCCUCCACCAGCUGCACCUCCAGGAUAUGUGGACGAUCUAGUUUGUGUCACCAUCGUUCGCUGUUUGCUUCCCUCAACCUUUUUCUCAAAACCCUAGAUUUACAAGCCCUCCUUUUAGCGCCAAAUGUAAGCCCUACUCUUGAUGAGCUUUGGUGUGAUCCAAACAGUUGAGUCAGCUGUGUUCUUUAGCUGCUUCACUCCUAGUACCUAUAAUGACCAUCGGACAAUGACCGGUGGAUAAAGCUCCAACGAUCAAGUCAGUAAAGUGGCUAGGUUUAGAAAAUAGGUUUUAGCAAGAAUGAACAGUUACCUUAUGUGAACCCUAACGUUUUCUUUAUAUAGCGGUACUCACCGCCUUCCUUCAACCGUAGGAUCUUUCUAUGCAUCCUAUGGUUCUCCCAUCUCCUACGUGUUUCAUUUUCCAUCACAUGCUAUGGGGCAAAUGCUUGACAACCAGGCAUCACGUGUUUUAUCCGUGAUACUCUAGAAUGUUCCGUGUUCCGAUUGGGUACUUCACGGUUUGCUCUCCCUAUCUGACUCCUAUGUUCUCAGUGCUCCACCUGGCACAGUUUGGUGCUUACACAUUCUUAUUUUCUUCUUCAUUUGUUUUUUGUAAAUUUUGAUUAAACUAAAGCUACAUAAUCUUUCUUAUUAACUUUUUCAGAUUUUGGAGCUAGAAACCAAGACGACAUACACUAACGCUGAAAUUAAUGAAGUCCGUAUUGAGUUUAUCAAUUACAUUGAAUAAUUUUUGAUCGAGCAAUCUUCAUGACAUGGUAUUCAGGUUGGAUUUUUCUCUUGUCGAUUACUGAAAAUUAAAUUUUAUAUCCUAAAAUGCCAAUGGUUCCCUAUUGCAAGUCACACUUUUCAUAUAUUAGUCAGGUCAUAAGGCACAAAACUAACUACAGACACACUAGUACAAAGCAUAGACUCAUUAAAACCACCUAUACAUUAUGGUGGGAACAUUAACCUGCGCUGCUGCAGCUACUUAAUAGCUUAAACCUAUAAUAUUGCACCGCAAUGAUAACAUAAUCUGCACUGCUGCAUUGUGAUCUCCAUAUACAUUCUUUGCAAGUUUUAGGCAUUCUCGUAAAUUGUAUGAUCAUUACAAGUACAUAUGAUGUAUGGUUGAUUGAAAUAAACAUAACUGGUAUGAUAUGGUUUCGUUUCGCAUGCCCAUUACUUGUUUUAGAUAUAGCCUUAGCUUUUACUAAUACAUAGUACAGUACUGACCAGCCUAAUAGAUUAGACACUCGUGGUUGUUCUGGUUUCACUUUUAAUUUUUUUUUUCUCUCUUGGUUUUUGUUUUGUAGUUUGUACCUACAAGCAGAGGCUGGCUAACAUUAUUGGUGAUCAUAUCAGGGAAUCAACAAGUGUAAUCUACUUAGUCGUUUUAAGUAGCGUGUGAUAGACCUAUUUGGAAAGGAAGUUGUUAAAAUGAACACUCACUACUAGAGAAAUGAUAUUUCUUGACAUUUUUUAAAAUAAAAGUUUGAUGGUUCUUUUAAAAAAUGUCAAAGGAUGUAAUUUUUUGAAGAAUUAUGACGGUUUUUGUAAAUACUAUCAAGUACUUCAAGUAUCAGCUUGACAAACUCAAGGUUGAGUGUGAACUUGGUAUUUUAUAAAUUUUAAGUGACAUAUAUUGUGUUUUGUAGAUUGAUGUUGACGACUUUCUUGUUUUUAGAUAUUUUUAGAUCAAUAUUAGUGAGAAUGAUUGGUUGUUAUAUAGCCUUAAACCAUUUUGUAAUUUUGAGAUUAUUUUAAUAAAAAUACAGGAAAUAUUUCUCAAUUUGGUUUAUGAUGUAUAUUAUUAUAUUUAUUUCCAUCGUAUAUAUAUAUAUUGCUUGAUGCUUUUAUCCCAUCAUACAACACAAUUCUUGAUACUUUGUGGAGAGAUGGAUGACGAUUUUAACACGAACCAUGACAGUUUUAAAAGAUGUAGGAUGACAGUUUUAACUUGAAGGAUGACGGUUUUAACAUGAAAGAUGAUGGUUUUUAAAAGAUGUAGUUGACGGUUUUUAGUGAAUAAAUGACAGUUUUAAACAUAUUGGAUGACGGUUUUAAUGAAUAUAAUGACGGUUUUAAUGAAUAUAAUGAUGGUAUUCUAAAAACCGACAUCUGUAAAAUAAGAAGAUGACGGUUCGAGUGAUAAAACUGAUACCAUUACGGUUUGAACCAUUGACAUGUAUCUAUACGACUGUCAAGAAUAAUAAAUAUUUCAUGACAGUUUAUUGAACUUUUCUUGACAGUGGAUAAGAGGACGGUUUUCUAAAAAAUUCAAAACCGUCAUCUAUUGCAUAUUAUGACAGUUUUUAACCGUCAAGAAAUCCCUUUCUCCUAGUAGUGAAGCCCGCAAAAAGUCAAGAAAAACCCACAAAAAAGUGUUAUUUACACAAAGGUGGAGAAUUGAUAUUUGCACCCACCAAGAUGUUGAGGGCACCCCACGACUGGUCUUAUGGACUUGACUUUAUCUCAAAGUGGGGCGGUCCAAAUCUCAGCCCAAACCGGGUCCUAUUGAAGAUCACAAGUCAGAAUUUCUAUUUUAGGCCUUUAUUAAAGUCCAAUCUUAAAAAAACUCUACAAGAAGAUCCAGAAGUCUGAUUUGAGUCCAUGAGCUGUCCAAUUGAAGGUCUUGGUCCAAGCUACAAUAUAAGACUAAUAUAAUUAGGUUUUGCUGAAAACCUAAUGCCUCUAGAAGACCAACAGCAGCAGCCACGAAUUUGACCUAAUUUGGAAGUCUUUGUAUGCAAGUAAUAAGGUUUGUAUUUACUAUAUAAGAGAAGUAGUAGUUAGGGUUUAGGUUAGUUCAUGUUGAAAAAGAAAAAGCUUGUAUUGAAUUCAAUUCUUAUUAUUAAUAUCAAUCCAUUAAUUUUUCCCUUAUGAUGUUUUGUUAUUUAAUUAUUUAUUCCAUGGUGUCAUCAUCAAUGAUGAGUAGCUAAAUUCCCUUAGGGGGAUGGUUGAAGCACUCUAGAUAAUGCAAAAGCACCAUGUUUGUUCUUAAUGUUCAUUGUGAUUCAAUUUCUUAAUGCUUGUUUAUUUCAAUUCUAGAUAGAAGUAAACAUGAUUAUUUAUGUGUUAUUGUUAUCCAUGUUGAUUAAAUACUAUUGUUAGAGUAUAGGGAGACCUAGCUAUAUAUAAUGGUUGUAUUAGAUUAAUUAGAGAUAUGUGAUGGAAUAGCUGAGAGGUGACUAUCAUAUAUCUAGAAUUAAUCUAUUUUAUUGGACCCUUUUUGUAUUCAAAUUGAAUAGCUGAGAGGUGACGGUUUGAUUAUGAAUUAAUAUGUUGAGUUACUUGAAUUGAAUAGCUGAGAGGUGACAGUUUAAUUAAUGAGAUAUAUUCAAUAACACAUAUAAGAGAAUCUUGUUUUAAUUAAGUGGAAUAGCUAAGAGGUGACUACUUGAUUAUUAUAGGUAUUGAUGAUUAAUUGGAAUAGCUGAGAGGUGACUAAUUAAUUGUUAUAGAUUGAACAUGAAAGGAUGACAUGUUAUGUUUGCAUGAUUUAGUUUUUGGAUACCAACUCUUCCCCCUAUGUCAUCAUAAGAUCUUCUUUACAUCUCUAUCCAUCUUCUUAAGUUAGUUUAAUUAUUUGUUUAUUUAAUUAGUGUCUUUAGGAAGUAGAAUCUAAUCUCUCCCUUAUUUGUGAUUCACUUGGUGUUUCUUAACUAUUAUUUUAUAUUGUGUUUGAGCUAAGAUCUUCACCUUUGAGGUGGGUACGACCUUGUUACUUGUCUACAUUGAUAACCAAUAUUUACAGGCACAAGAAGGAACUUCAAUACAAAUCAAUCUUUUGAUUAGAGGUUACACAAAUAGUCAUCAUUAUACAAUUCAUUCCUGCCCUCUUUCCUUCCUAAGUUUCCACAUUCUAGGAACUUUACAAAAGAGAAAAACAUUAUACUGCUUUGCUAGACUCUUGACUAUACCCACUUCUUCUUCACAUCUUGUGCUAAUAUUGUAAACCCCCAAUAGUGCAAUAGUCUAAUGAACUAAUAACAGAAUUAAACUAACUAUGAAAGCAAUAAAGAACACAGUUGUUUAACAUGGUAAAACCCAAUCAUUGAGAAACAUCCACGACCGCCCUCACGACGAUAAACAAUCCACUAUAUGAAAUAGAAAGAUACACUCACUAAUACAAUCACAAAAGCUAAUACGCGUAGUCUUCUAUCUCUGCAAUCACUACAAUACCUUCUUAGCCUCACUUUAAGAAACAAUCCUUGUUAUUGAUGUUGGAAUGGAGAAGAUGAAGGUUUCCUUUGCUUUACACAGUAGCAAUGGAGGUGGUAGAGAUGAUGGAAAACCUUAGGUUUCUUUGUUGAAGAGAAACCCUAUUAUAAUUCCAUGUUGGGCCUUGAUUCCAUAUAGGCCCAUUACUACAAGUGGGCUUGCAUCACUCAUGCUCCACUUGAGCCCACGAAUUGUGUCAACCUUGUACGCUGACGGCUAAAAAUAUUAGUAUUUAGUUCUGCCACACUGCAUGCUUCUAUGAUAUUUACAAAAUCCCCACAUACCAAGAUUCGCUUCCAACCCUUAUUUACAGUGCAUUCUCCAAGGCCAACUUUACUCUGCAAUGGGAUGGCUUCGGCUUCCUCUGACUGUAACACCCCGGGUCGGUAGGUGGUUUGUCGAGGGGGUGAUGGCACAUCAGAGGAGGAUGCCCUGACAUUGGAAUAUAGGUAUAGAUGUGUCAUACAUUAUCACCGAGGCCUUUUGGGCUCAGUACUUGUCUCCAGAGUUCGAAAGAACUCUUAAGGUAAGCGUGCUUAGGUGAGAGUAGUCUCAGAUGGGUGACCUCCUGGGAAGCAGGCUACUGCCCAUAAAACCCCACACUAAUGGACGUCUGCAGUGGCUAAGUGAGGACAAUAUCGGUGGUGAUAUAGGUCGGGUCGCUACACCGACUCUCUUGCAUUUUUGCUAAAGCAUCCUGCAAGAACAUAUUUAUCAGGCCAUUUUAUAGCAAAAAUACCCAUUCCACUAUUACAUUUCUGAUAAGAAUCCCAAGAAAAAAAACCAUCAACAAGUACAAUUAGUAAGUUUAUUUAAAUUCCUGAUAAUAAUAUUUUAAUGUUGAAGAUCAUGAUUCCAAACAUCAAGUUUUAAAAGCAAAUAAAGAAGCAUACCAAACAUAGAUGGACAAGAAAACAAAGCAUGAGAUAUAUUUUCAGUUCCUAACUCACAUCUAGGACUAAAAUCAGCUUGAAAUAAAGCAUGAGAUAUAUUUUAAGUUCCUGCCAAUUGUUUUUUUUUUCAGGUGAUGAAGGAGAUAGCCACCUCUAGCAUGAACCAGAUUACCCGAACAUCUAAGGAACUUUCAAAAUUGCAGUCUACCAUACCUUAUCAAUGAAUAUCAACAAAUUUUCCCAGUGAUGAUCCAAGCUCGGUCAAAUAUGUGAAUAUAUAGCGGUAGUUCAAUCACUUUUAUUUGUAAGAGAAGAUGUCCAGUACAUGAGAUUAUUAGCAAUUAAUAUGAACACUUGAACAGAUUAAAUUAUGUUCAAGAGAUGAUUAGAGCCAAUGACAAAUUUCUAUAAUCAACUGAAGACAAUUAAUAUGAACACUUAUCCAGCUGUAGAGGGUUUCGGAUUAGGGUCACCCAUAUGGGUUUUCCCCCCAAAGGCCUUGACAUUAGUUAGAGUAUAUAUGGUUAAGCUCUAUAUACUACCACUACAACCACUUCCUUAGCAAUGUGGGACUAACACCAACUCCUGAGUGUUACAAUUGUUGAAGUACAAGGUACCUCCCAAUAAAUAACAGAAGCGUCUAACCAACCAAUGUGUAUGAAAGUGAUGCAAACAAACCAACGUAAGUAGUAAAACAAUUAAACCUACUUAUACCAACAAACAAACGUAAAAAUAGACACAAAUUUAACGUGGUUCGACGAUUGCCUAUGUCCACCGACCAAAGAGGAGAGCUUCUUAUUAACAAACCAACAAAGAUACAAAGUAUCUAACCAAUGGAGAAAAUCUCCUAAACAAAUCUCUCACUCACAAAACAAAUCUCUCUUCACCAAUAAUCCUUACAACUCUCAUAAAGAGACUAAUAAACAAAUUGAGGAUGAUCCUCACCUCACAACUCUCUCAAGGAGACAAACAACUAUUGAGGAUUGAAGAUACAAAACCAAUCUGUAAGACCUUAUAUUUAUAGCCUUUAGGGUGUACAAAACAAAUUCCUAAUAAGAAUACCAAACCUAAUUAAAUUGGAAGUCGUAUUCCAAUACCAAAUUCUAAAUCCUUAAUAUGGACUUAGAAAUCCAAAUAUGAAACGGAUUCCUUAGAGAACCGGUUUCCCAACAAUUCUCCACCUCGGUGAAGAUUUUUCAAAUAUGAGACGAUCUUCAGAAACCAACGAACAAGCAAACCAAAGCGGCCAGACCAUCAAGUGGCUCCCUACGUACCCUCCAUGGGAUCAAGCCAUCGUAGUUUUUCCAAACGGACAUUUUUCAAUGCCCACUAUGCCCCGAAAGGCCAAAUCCCCCUAAGGGGAUUUGGCUAUGCCCACUAUUGGUAUCAAGAGCCGAAGGUUAAUCCUUUGGGUUGAAGAAGGGAUUGCAGAACAUUGUUUGUAGGGUUUUGUUCGAUUUUAGGAAUCUGUCCAGAUUCGACACCCUGUGGUAAAACGGCCAUAACUUUGUGCUCGGAUAUCGAAACUUUGAUCCGUUUUUUGGGUUGAAAAGUACUCUUCAGGCGUUCUAACAGUGUAUGGUGCGUUAUCUGGUUCAAAGUAAUAUGUUCUCAGUAAUUCUUUGAAGUUGACGGUUUUGUUUUCCUAAAUUUUUUGAAAAUCCAAUCUUGGGUUUUUCUUCUUGUUUUUGGUUAAACUCUUUUGGGUUUCGUUUUUUUUAUUAGUUCGCUAGUGUGUGAAAGUGAUUAAUAAUGUCGGAUCCAUCUUUGGGUUCGAGUUGAAAGGUAUGAAAGCAAUUCGUUUGAAAACAUUCCCCGAUGAAUAUGACCAUUUGUCCACCACUUUGUUGACGGGGAAAGAAUUUGUUAAAGAUCGUAGUAGUGAUAGAGGAAGAAGAUCUCGAUCUAAGUCGAGAGUUGGUUCGCAGACUUUGUCUGAUGAUGAAUGUGCCUUUUGUAAUGGAAAAAAGACAUUAGAAAUUUAAUUGUCCCAAGUUGUCGAAAUUGAAGGAUUCUAAAUCCUAAAAAGAUAAGAAUGCAAAUAUUGCACAAGCUGAAGUUGAUGAUGAUUCUGAUUAUUCUUUUGCUGCUUUUGUUGAUUGUCUUAUUAAGGAGUGGAUUAUGGAUUCUAGUGGUUCUCACCAGAUGUGUCCCAACAGGGAUUUAUUUGGUAGUUUUAAAAAACUAAAUGGUAAAAUUUUGCUAGGUAACGGCCGUACUUGUAGAACAUCUGGUGUGGGAGCUAUCAAGUUGAAGUUGGAGAAUAGUACAGUUAAAGAAUUAGUUGGUGUCCGGUAUGUUCCAGAAUUGAAGGUGAAUCUCAUCUAUUUUGGAACCUUAGAGUCUGAUGGUUUGAAGAUUGUUUUGCAAGAUGGGGCUUUAAGGGUUGUUUCUGGUGCAUUAGUUGUUAUGAAAGGGACAAGAAGAAAGAAUUUGUACUAUUUUAAUGGUACUGAUAGUGGUAGAGGUAUUCCUCCCAAUUUGGUUGAUUGUUUGACUCCUCCCAGUUUAACUGAUAGUUUGAUUGAUUGUGGUUUUGGUAGACGUACCAGCAAGCAUGGCUUGUUGAAUGGUGGUAAGGUACGUAAAGUUCCUUUUGGGCAUUAUUGUUUGGAUGGUAGUUUGAAGUUGGAGACAUCUCAGCAGGUGGAGACUGAUGUCUCUCCUUAUGAAAGUUUGUCUAGUAACACAACAGAUGUUAGUUUGUUAGCCACAAAUGUUUGUUUGAAGGUUCAAGCCCAUGAACCAGUUGUAGCUGUGAAGCCGUUGGUUGGAAACCUUUGUAGGUUUCGGGGUGUUGAUACAUACGCAUCUUUAGUUGGUUAUGGUCAUAAAGUGGACAUGAUAUUUGGUACUUUGGACCCCAUUGUUUUGGUGUAUGUUUGUUGGCCGUUUGGGGCAUUGGCCCUUUACGGGCAUUGAUGGGCAUUUGUUCCUUAGAGAACCGGUUUCCCAACAACAAUCCCACCACCUUAUAAUAGAGACGUCCCCAGCUCUGCAGUACACUCAGUACAGGCCUAAAAUCUCCGACGUUCCCUGCCAAAUGAGAAAAGUACAUGGCGCUCAUUGGGCCUUUCCAACGUAUUUCCCACCUGCAACAGGAACCUCAUGUCGUCGGCUCUGAUACAAAUUGUAACGCCCCAAUAUUUCGUCCUUGCUCAUCCCGGUGCGUCGAGCACUAUACCGCUCGCUAAUAUCAAUAUUGUCCCCCUUUAGUCACUGCGGAUAUCCAACAAUAGAGGGUUUUGGACCAGGGUCCACGCGUCAAGGCCUUUUGGGGAAAACCUAGAUGGGUGGUUGAACCACUAAUCCAGUAACCCAGUCUCUAUGGGUUGGUGUCCGGGUUGGGUCUGAUAACAUUGGGCGACGUGCGCGUGUAUGUUUCCGAUAUGCAAUUAGCAUCACAAUAUCCUUCAACUACAGGUGGCAAAAGCCAUGUCUUGUCUAGUGUAAUUUGUGAUAGUCAACUUAGAUCACCAAGACACAAACCCAAACCCACUCAGACGGACGGCGUGUGUAUGUUUUUCAAGCUCAAGCCCAUGUAAGGUUCCGCCAACGCACGAAAACAUUGUAACCCCAAAGGGCCACUUUCUUAUUAUAAAAGAGUAGUUUAUUAAGAGCAAACCUUAUCUACAUAGGUAACUUGGGACGACAAUUUCUCAUUCAAUAUGAAACCGUUUUUGACAUAUGGAUAUUCUACGAGCAUCUACUCGGAACGAGGAAUCCAUACAUACCAAUAUCUCGCUCAACAGAUCUAUGCAACAUAUAAAAAUAUGCUGCCAAAUGUCUUGUCAAAAAUCUGUCAGAAUUCUGACAGAUUCUGUAAAACAGUUUCCAGCAAAACCCAAUGGCAAAAAGGCAUGUGUCAAUCUCAGCUCCCUUAUUUAGAAUCCUCGGAUGUAUUCUGAUUGUGGUGGAUGUACCCUUCCAGUUUUCAUUAUUAAUUUUAUCUUCAAAACUAAUUAAAGAUCUUCCCUAAUAUUGUGGUGGAUGUACCCUUUCCAGUUUUCAUUAUUAAUUUUAUCUUCACUUUUUUUUUUUGUUUUUGCGAAGGAUCUAAUGGGUCUUAUUACAAACAUUUAGAUAAGGAAUGUGAUUGGUAGUUUUUUCCCUUGUAAUGUUUGCAAACCAACUUAUACGCUAGCAGUUAACUAUCUUGAAUUGGAACUAAUGGCAACUUUCCACCAUAAAUCUCUGGGAGUUGAUCUUCAUCAAUGUCCUGUAGCAGUCUUGAUGUCACCUUUUUGUUUUCAACAAACACAAUCUACAUGAAAAACACAAAAACAUCAAAAACUAUAUAGGAGCAUACAUGAGAUUUAAGUUUUAAUUUAAAAUUUUAAAUGUCAUUUCAUUGUACGUAUAAACUUGCAUAUAGAUCGACUUAAUAUAAGAGAGUCCGUAUAUACCUUUCUCGUGGUGUUACUGCGAAUAAAUGGGUGGACGAUCUUCCAUAUGGUUCUAAAGAUUUUUGGCUGAUGCACCAAAUAAGCUUGUGCAAGUGUUUCUGGGAAAUAAUCCUGCCAUCACCACUCGGGUUAUAUGCUUGCAAACAUUCUAGCAAGUAUAUAUUGUGUAUGUAUGUAUCUUACAUCAUAAAGAAGUAUUCAGGCAUAUGUCUUCUACUGGGCGUCAACUAAGCACUUGACAACUAACUGCUUGGCCACAAGAGUAGUAUAAACUUUAUUCAAUCAAAACCAUGUCCUUUAGCCUUACUGUCCCAAGCCAAUGUUAAGUUGGUACCCUAAUUGAUUUCAUACCUCGCCGAUAUGUGUCGGCCAGUUUUACACACUGCAUUUGAAAUGCUUUUAAUGACAAUAGAGGAUCAUGGUUGGAAGCCCUCCCCAACCCCAUCAUCAUGUCAGAGGGGCGGCUCUGGGCGCUAUCAGGUAGGCCUGAAAUUUCAUCUUAUUUAAAACUUUGUGUUCCCCAUCACAUCAAUGAAGACCAAUACUUGGUCUUAUGAUAAUUCUACUACUUUUUGCCUAAAACAAACAGACUUGUCUUUUUUUUUAAAGAUUUGUAAGACCUACAGAUGAAAAAUCAACCACUACCCUUGAGUUUUCUUUUUAGAAUUCCUACUCUUAAGCAUAGGUGAAAAAAAUCGCAAAAAACCGUGAAUAUUCGACAGAUAUAUCCAUUUUAAUAGAAAUUGGAUAUUGGAACAUUCACGAAUAUUCGACGAAUUGUAAUAUAUAAUUUGUUUUCUAGUGUCCAAAUUUCGGAUAUAUCCGUUUUUUGUUUUCGCAAAUCGGAUGUCUGCAUAAAAUCGACAUUUAAAACCAUGCUCUUUUUAAGUACUGUGAUCUGGGUUCUAUGGAGGGCUUGGAAUGAACUUAUUUUCAGAAAUAGGUUGUGCUCGGUUGAAAGGAUAUGUAACCAGGUGAAAACUACCUUGUGGUAUUGGUUGGGAAGCUGCUGGACUGGCAGAAGACAUUUUAGCUAUUCAGAUCUGGUGACUUGUUGGUUUAAACUGUUAAAUGGCUACCUUGUCAGAGCAGCAAACUUACAAACUAUGGGACAUGGGACUCUAGGAAUAGGUCUGUAAUUUGUUUAAGGAGUCAAAGUCUUUUCUUUUUCUGUUUUUCUGGGAUGCCAGGGCAGCUCACAAUAGUAUGCUUUUGCACUCUAUUGUCAUAUCUUAUGUGUCUGGUAUGUAAUUUUUUUUCAUUUAUCAAUAAAAUAUCUCUUUAUCAAAAAAGGAAAAAAAAAAAUAGUCUAAACAUACCUGUAAGAUUGGUAUCAAGGAUUGCAAUGCUUUUAUGUCGAAAUUUGAUAAUCCCCAUCCUGUAAAAUCUCCAAUGAAGGUAAAUUGUUCUUGACCAACUGGCAUUCUGGAAGAGUGGAAGAUCACGGUCAUAUACCACAUUUGUCACUCCCUUCAUUAGUUUAGUUUGUUCAUGAAUAUAUAUAUGUAAUAAAAAUCAGGUUAUUGCUCCAGAAUUUAACUUAAUUCUCCUACUAUAAUAGGACACACCUUGCACAAAGUUUAUCCAAAGAGUACACAAAAAAUCCUGAAAAAGCAAAUAAGACAGCAUGAGACUGGAUUAUUAGAUUGUUUGGUCAUUUAUGAGAAAGUAUUAAGGUUAACUACUUCAAUGUCAAUAAAAGAUAAUAAUUAAUAAGGACCAGAACAAUAAAAAUGGUAUUUUCGAAAAAAUUAAGAAAUAGUACUCUUGAACUCAGCAUGGGCUUCUUUCCCUUGAGUAGCGAAAUGUCUUCCGUAAAAAUAUAUUGCUAUCGGGCGCCCCUUUUUAUCAAACCCUUGCAAAAACAACUUCUCAUGUGAUAGUUGAUUUGGUAUCUCUGUCUCUGAAAUCAGACCAUUUGGAACAAAUGAUUUUCUCCAUUUCAGGUAUUUUAGAAAUAAUUCAGAUGCUUCAUCUACAUUCAGUUUGCGAUAACGCAGAAUCCUCUUGAACACCUGAUCAUCAUAUUCCUACACAAAUAAUAAUAACAAAUAGAGUAAAAAAAAAUAGAGUAAAUAAAGCAUGAACAAGAGGGAGUUUCUGGACAGUUUUAUAUUACUUUUGAGGUAGGAUCCUGUUUCUCGACAAAAGAUCUCAUAAGGCAUAACUUCUGCUGCUUCAUCUCAUCAUUAGCUUCCAUGCUGAUCUCCUCUUUCUUGACUUCUUUACUAGUAGUAUUAGUAUCCAUUUCUUGAAACUGAAUACACUGAAGAGUGUGUUGCUUUCUCAGCUGCAGUUCUCUGAAGCUUCUUACACUCUCCCUCUUUUACUAUAGCUAGCAUGUACCGUGACAAUGCAGUUGGAGCUGCAAACCUCCUACUUCAAUGCUUGGCUUGGCACCAUACUAGUAAACUUUAAUUAUUGGCACCCACUUGUUCUCAGUUUCUACUACAUUUAUGGCAUCUGUCGUUUCAUUUUCGUACCACAUAAGCCAAACUUGGGUUAAAUGAUCAAUGACCAUAUUGCUGUAUAUAAAAGAUUAUUAUUGAUCAAAAUUACGAGAAAUAGUACAUAUUUUUAACCGUCAUUGAGCGAUUUUUACGGUUUAAUCUAUGACCUAUUGACUUUUAUUUUUAAUAAAAUUCAGGUUUACUAUUGGAAGUCGGGUUUGGUUAAUGUAAAUAUAAAAUGAAAAGUGAUUGAUAAAUUUUUCUCUUGUGAGACCUGGCAAACAAUUCAAGUAUAAUGUACUGUAGGACACUAACUUCUGCUCGCAAAUUUACCUUCCAACUCUUGUAAGUUGUAACAGGGGACAAUCUUGACCUACCUUCUAAAGAUUUCACAUGUAUGCAGUUCUCUACCACGUUUACUAAAAUGAAAAAUUAGUGAUGCGGUACGAAAUGUGCAAAUUUAGACAUCAUCAAACAGCGAAGUUAUUUUGAACUACCAACUGUAAGUUAAAUUUAUUCAGAGAAGCUUGAAAUGUUCAAAUUUACGUUCUGUUCGGUCAUAACCAUUGGCAGAUAUGGACUGCUUGGUGAAGAUUGGAAUGAUCAGAUGAAAAUUAAUCAGUGAGACUGCUCAUGGUACUAAACGAUAUUAAAAAGUUCUUGUGCAACCAUUAAGUGUAGGUAAUUAAAAUUGAAUCCUAAGGGGUGUGCAGCAUAUUUGGAGAUAUCGAAACCUUAAAUUUAACAUUCACCACACACUAUCUAUUCCAGCCAAACAUUCAAAAUAUAUAAAUUCUAUCAUAAAAGGAUGAUCGGCUGAUCUCUGGAAUGAACUUUAGUUUAGGUUUCAACUUAUAACAGGUACGUCUUUUUGUUAAUUUCAGUUUUAUCAAUUCAAGUGGCCUGCAACAGUUGAUAUUGGAAAAUUUAACUAUUUUCAAUUGGCACCAACGGUAACUUUCCACCAUAAAUGUCUGGCAGUUGAUCCUUCUCAAUAUCUUGCAGCAGUCUUGAUGUCACAUUUUUCCUCUCCACAAAGACAAACUACGUACAUACAUGGAAAAUCAAACUUGUUAGUAUGAUUUAUAUGAUUAAAUUUUUGGACAUUCAACCUCACUGUUCUGUGUUAUAUGCUUACAAGAUCAAUGUGAAUCAUACCUUUUUCCUGGUGUUUUUGCGAAUAAAUGGAACGAUCAUCUUCCAUAUGGCCUUAAAGAUAUAGGGCAUAUCGAUUACAUAUAUUUGUCCAAGCAUUUCAGGGUAGUAAUCCUGCCAUCACUUCGCAGGUUAUGCUUACAAUAUAUUCUUGCAAAUGUAUGUAAAUGCAUAUGUAAUGACUUUACAGUUUUGAACUGACAAUCAAGCUUUACAUAUACAUAUUUUGCACUCAAUAGUGUUUUUGGUUUUAUAAUCUUGUUCCAGGUGCCAUAAAUUAGACCCAAAAUAAACUUUGCUUCUGAGCUGUUAGGAGCAAAGUGUUCUUCUAAGUUUUAAUCAUACAUUUUAAGGAAAAAGUAUUUUAUGGAAAUCUCGAGAAACACAGUUAUAAAGCCACUAAAGUUAAAUAGUGAUACCUGUAAGAUUGAUAAAACCUCUAGGCAGCCUUUGACGUCGCAAUUAGACAUUCCCCAUCCUUUGAAAUCUCCUAUGAAGGUAAAUUGUUCCUGACCAUUUUGCAUCCUGGAAAUUCAUGGUCAUGCCAUAUGUGAUUCAUACAUCAAUGUAAAUUUGUUCUAAUCACUUUAUGGUAACAGUAGCAAAGAAAAGGUUUCCAUGCCAGUUCAACAUUAUUAGACAAACCUUGCAGAAGCUUUAUCCAGAGAGUAGACCCAAAAUCCUGUAAACCCAAAGCAAAAGAAACUAUGCGCUUGAACGAGGUCACCAAGAAUAUAUGAUUUGGUCUCUUGUACUAAAAACUUUUUAUAUGAAGUAUAACUAAAAUGAACUGAAAGUAUUUAUAAAUGAGCUUACGAUUGAGCUCAUCAAGGGCAAGGCCCUCUUUCCCAUUGACCGGAACAUGCCUUCCAUAAAACCCAACUGCCACCGGACGCCCUUUCAUGUCAAAUCCUUGCAUAAACAACUUCUUUUGAGACAGUUCAUUUUGUAUUUCAGACUCUGAAAUCGUACCAUUAGGAGCAACCACUCGUUUCCAUUUUCUAUACUUUAGAAAUGAAUCCGUUGCCUUGUCCACGUCCAAUUUACGAUAACGCAGAAACCUAUUGAGAACAUGAUCAUCAACUUCCUACACAUAAUUAAUCAUAAACUCAGUUAUAUAUAGCAUGAACAAGAGGUAAUAUAUACACAUACAGCAAUAACUAUAUAUAUAUAUAUAUAUAAAAGACUAACUUUUGAGGUAGGAUCCUGUUUCUCAACAAAGGAUCUCAUAAGGCAUAACUUGUGCUGGUUAGUCUUGCUACUGGUUUCCAUGCUGAUCUCUUCUUUCUUUACUUCAUCAUUAUUAAUUUCUUUGUUACUAGCUAGUAUCCAUUUUUCUGGAAAAAAAAAACUACAAUACUACUAAAUGUAACUCACUCUUUGCUUCCUUUCUGUAUGAAGUCAUUUUGACAGAAGUUUGGUGCAACAGAACUCAAAAUUUAUUGCUUGAAACUUCGACAGUAGAUUAGUGAUUGCUCAUAGUUUGUUGUUAUUCGACCUCAUUUAUGUUUUCCUGAUAAAAUAGAUUUUACCUAUCAAUGAAUCUUGAUAAUAAAACAAUGAGAUGCACUGCUCAUUUUUGGUUUGGAAGUGGACCACUAGAACUUAGUACAGUAUAGUAUCCCCAAGAAGACAAGUUUGGUAUCACAUUGAACUUCAGACCCAUGCCUCACAUGUAUUUUUCUUAGCAAUGAAUCUUGCCCAUGCAUGCAUGUCUAGGUAGCUAAUCUGAAAUAUUUCUGGAAUCUGCCUUUGGAAUACAACCAUUCAUUCUUCUAAAAGCAGAUGGCAAAUUUAAACCAGCACUCAUUAAUUCAGUCAUGCACUUCAAAUCAAAUACUUCCCAAAAUUGUUUUGAAAAUGUACAGUUGAUUUCAUUAUAAUUAAAAUGAACACAAUUUAAAACCUUCAUCCCUAAAUGUAUCGUGCCAGCAGGUUACGAACCAUUAACAUUAUGUUUACAAAAACAAUGUAGAUAAAAUGUUCAUCACAUAGGAAUUAUAUAUAUAACUUCUUCGAUCUUUUUUCCAAUUUACAUUUUAAUUAACUAUCUUCAAUCACCACUAAAGGCAACUUUCCACCAUAAACCUCUGGGAGUUGAUCCUCGUCAAUGUCUUGUAGCAGUGUUGAUGUCACCUUCUUGUUAUCCACAAAGACAAACUAUAUGGAAACAUAAACAUGUAAAUCUAAGAUUCGGAGUUUUCACAUUCGAUCUUUUAUAAUAAGCUUGUUACAUACACCUAGAUACAAUAGUUGAUAGAGAUUAAUUUGAACCUUACCUUUUUCUUGGUCUUACUGCGAAUAAAUGGAUUAAUGAUCUUCCAUAUAGUUCUAAAGGUAAAAGGCUGAUUGAUUAAAUAUAUUUGUCCAAUUGUUUCCGGGUAGUACUCCUGCCAUCACCAGUUCAUGUUAUACUACAUACAAAACAUUCUAAAAUGGUUACCAUGGCUGAUGUUCUUGUUAAAUAUAAGAGCAUUAUUCUAAAAUCUUUGAGUUACGUAAAAUACUUGAUUUUGGAAGCUACAGAUCGAAUAGUGGUUCACGAUAGGUAUGGAUACAGCAUAUCUAUCGUGCAGUCAAUCAAGUAGCAGACUACACUAAAAUGUUCGAAUUACGUACAGUAAAAUACUUGAUUUACACAGUUGUUGCACCAUUGAAUGAGAUGCACCAAUUGUGAUAUUGGUUUCUGACUGUCCUAACUGUGAUUUUUGGAAGUAAUUAAGUUCCAAUUCUUAUGAGCGAAGCCGUGAAGAUAUACAUAUACCUGUAAAAUUGGGAAAAUCAUUAGGGUUGCCUUCAUAUCGCAAUUUGAUGAUAAUGUCCAUCCUUUGAAGUCUCCAAUGAAAGUAAAUUCUUCCUGACCAUUUGACAUCCUGCGGCCAGAACGUAAUAAUAUGACACUUCAAAACUAAAUUUUAUAGUUAUAUGCCAAAUUGAAACAGACUUGCAAUGGUUGAUUCUCCUAUUAUAAGACACACCUUGCACAGAUUUUAUCCAUAGAGUACACUAUAAAUCCUGUAAAACCGAAGACACAUAUAAGGAAAAAGGUGAAAGGCGUGCAUUAUGGUAAAGUGAAACUUAUGGGAACGUACGCUUGAGCUCUUCAAGGCCCUCUUUCCCAUUGGUUGGGACAUUCUUUCCAUGAUGCAAAACUACUACGGGGCACCCCUUCUUAUCGAAUCCUUGCAUAAAAACUUUCUUAUGUGAUAUUUGAUUCUGUAUCUCUGACUCUGAAACUGAACCAUUAGGAACAAAUGCUUUUCUCCAUUUUAGAUACUUUAGAAAUGAAUCAGAUGCCUUAUCCACAUCCAAUUUACAAUGACGAAGAAACCUCUUGAGCACUACAUCAUCAACUUCCUACGUACAGAAUAACAUAGACAAUUAAUCAUAAAGUCAUGUAAACAAUAUAGUAAAGCAUAAACAAGAGGGUGUAUUAGGACAUUUAUACAUUUGAGGUAGGAUCUUGUUUCUCAACAGAGGAUCUCAUAAGGCCCAACUUCUGCCGCGUAAUCUCAGUACUGCUUUCCAUUCUGAUUUCUUCUUUAUUUACUUUUUUUUCUACUCCUACUACUAUCCACUUCUUCAAAAUGAAUCCAGAAUGUGAUACUCUCGCAUACCAAAACCUCUCAAACUUAAGCUCACUUUUUCUCUCUUUUAGGACACAGCAACUUGGCAAACAAUUAGUUAGGUGCGACAGGCCAGUUGUAUUAAUGCUUAGCACCACUGUGGUUUGUUGAUAUAGGGGGACCUAUUGUUUCAUUGCAUUUCAUGUACUGUAUAAGUCAUCAGUUUCAAUUAUCAAUAACUACUUUACUACGAGAAGAUCACUGAUAAAAUCUUCGGAAAUGUCACUGUUUAUCAAGAGUGGGUGUGGGAUUUAACAGUUUAACAGCUAUAUGUCAACCUCAUCUAGCAAAUUCUUGACUCUAACAUGUCAACCUACAUCUAAAAGAUUUCAGAAGUCAUUUUCCAUUGUUCAUUAUCAGUAUGAAUAUUUGGAAGAAUGCUAUUAAUUUGUAAGUAACACAUGGUUCUACACACCCCAUUUAUAGCUUACCAACACAUGCAUCUAAAUAUAAAUUCAUGCAUGGUUCACACAUUGGAGUUAAAAAUUGCUAGAACACCAUAACUGAAUAAAGAAGUGUGUCUAGACCCAUGAAUAAUUCGCAGCAUGGCAAAACAGAGAAAUAAUAAAUUUGAGACUUAAGAUUGAGUAAUGAGUUUGAAAGACUUCAAACCUCUCUUAAUCAUCGUUGUAAUGGCAAUUUUUGAAAUGUCGAAUUGCUGAUGAUUGAUCAAACUUGGGGUCUGUUUGAUUGGUCGUGGGAAAAAUUCCCACAUCAAACAUUACCCCAGAAAUUCCCAGAUGCAUGUUUGAUUGGUAAAGUUGGGUCAUGUAAAAAUUCCAUGAUAAAAAUAUUUCUCAUGAAUCUUUCCUUGACCCACCCCUAAAAAAAAUUCCCAAACUUGUAAGGGAAUAUUUUUUUGUCUAAUCAAACAACUAAAAUCUUUCCCACAUAAAAUUUUCCUCAUGUUUUUAUGUCUAAUCAAAUAACUAAAAUCUUUCCCACAAAAUUUUCCUUGUGUUUUUAUGUCCAAUCAAACGACCCAUUAGUGGGAAUUAUUUUAUGUGGGAAUAUUUUCAACUAUAAAAAUUCCAACAAGUAGUUAUUCAUUCCCACCAAUCAAACACACCCUUGAUACUAACAAGUAAUAAUAUGAGUUCUUGAAAUUAAAAUUCUCGUGAUUUCUUCAAUUUGUAUUUCUAAUCUGUCCACCACUACAACCUAUAAGAUUUUGUGGAGAUCAGAAGUUUUUUUUUUAUAGAUUAAGAAAGAUUAAAAUUAAAUUCAGAGAUGGUGACAAAGAAAUUUCUGUUUUAUAUUCGAGGCAAAUAUUUUUCUCUUUCAAGCAGAAUCUCUCCGUUAGAAUUGGUAUUAACUCUGUUAAGAUAUGUGCCACAUGUCAUAUUGUAAGUGGACAAGGACGCAAGGAGCAAAUAUUUUCUCCAUUGUGGACUAUGGAGCUGAAAACCUUCAAGCCCAUUGUUGAGUUAGGCCCGACAUGGAUAUGAGGCCCAACUUGUGAUACUUUAUAUAAGGGUUUUUUCUACAAUAGAAACCCUAAGGAUUCAACAUCUCUCUAACCUCCUUCUACCUCAAUAGAAGGAUUCAACAUCUCUCUAACCUCCUUCUACCUCAAUAGAAGCUAGUGUAUGAAGCUAGUGUAUGAAUUGUAGAGAGUGAAUCUUCAAAGAGAGUAUGUGAGUGAAAGUAUACCCAGAGGGCAAUUGCAGGUGUUAUAUUUGAGUGAAGAUAUAACCAGAGGUUGUGAUUGUGAGUGUAUUACUUUUACACCAUAUAGUGGAUUGAUUAUCGUCUGAGGACGGUCGUAGAUGUUUCCCAAGUGAAGAGUUUUACCACGUUAAAUAAUUGUGUUCUUUAUUGCUUUUGUUUUAUUUAUUUUCUGUUGCUUGUUUAUCCUUGGAAGAUUGCACAACUUAUUCCUACAGCCUUAAAAUUAAUAUAUAAACACGCAAUACCCUCUGAAAAGUUGAUCAUGCACUUCCUACACAGGCACACAACAUAUUGUAAUGUACUAAUGUUUGAUAAUAUUCAUGACCUUAUUAUUGUUUAAAACCUUCUUGCCCGGUGAUGAACCUUCAAAAUGCACAUAAAUUACACUGGGCAACUCUGUUAAAUGCUUGAAAACAGGCAGACCAUUUUGCAAACGUUUUGAAAGAUUUGGGACCAAAUUGAACAGUUUAAACUUAGAGGACUCAACUGAAAAUAGCUAAUUCAUCGAAGAGACAUAAACCUCUAAGAUUGAUAACAUUGAUUGGGUGGCAUUGAUAUCAAAAUUUGAAUAUCCCCAUCCUUUGAGGUCUACAAUACAGCUAGAAGAGACAUAAACCUGUAAGAUUGAUAACAUUGAUUGGGUGGCAUUGAUAUCAAAAUUUGAAUAUCCCCAUCCUUUGAGGUCUACAAUACAGCUAAACUGUUCCUGACCGUUUGACAUCCUGCCAGAACGUGGUAAUAUAUAUCACAUUCGAAUAGUUUGUUCAUUAGUUUAUUAUAUGCUUUAUGACGCAUUGAAAAGGAUUUCCAAUGGAUGAUUCACUUAUAUUUUAUAUAAGACAUACCUUGCACAGAUUUUAGCCAUUAAGUAAACCACAAAUCCUGCAAAACCAUAAACACACAAAUGAUCAAGAAAGGUCAGCCAAUUAGUUACGGUAUUGCUACCUAAUCAAGUGGAGUUGUAGUAUGAAGCUAAAGCAUUUGUAUUCAAGAUCUGCAUUCUAGUCUAGUGCAUACCACAUAUUCAAAGACUAUAUACUGUAUGUAAUGACUCAAGAACACAGUGACACAAUAAUCAGGUCAAUACAGAAGAAAUCAGGUCAUCAAGUGGAAAUGACUAUUCCCCUUCACUAGAAAUCUAGUUUUUAAGGAGGAAAAAACUUAAAUGCAUUGAUGGUACAGUAUUUUAAACUUAUAUUGGAACAUACGCUUGAGCUCAUCAAGGCUCUCUUUUCCAUUGGUUGGGACAUUUCUUCUUUCAAGCCUAACUAGUAGGGGACGCCCUUUCUUAUCGAAUCCUUGUAUAAAAUCCUUCUUAUGUGAUAGUUGAUUCUGUAUUUCUGACUCUGAAAUUGAACCAUCAGGAGCAAAUGCUUUUCUCCAGUUUAGGUACUUGAGAAAACAAUCAGAAGCCUUCUCCACAUCCAACUUACGAUGGCGAAGAAACCUCUUGAGCAGCACAUCAUCAACUUCCUACACAGAUAAUUAUAGUUUAUAAAGUCAGUAACAAUAAUAUUAAAGCAUGAACUAACAAAGUAACAAGAGGAAGUUUAUGGAUACUAAUACUUUCGACGUAGGAUCCUGUUUCUCGACAAAGGAUCUCAUAAGGCACAACUUCUGCUGCAUAAUCUGAUCACUACUGCUUUUCAUGUUGAUCACUUGUUUAUUUACAUCUUUCCUACUACUGCUUCUAUCCAUUGUUUCAAAAUGAAUCUAAACUGUGUGACACUCUCGCAGUCUGCAGACACAGACCUUUCUUUAUAAGCUCACUCUCUCCCUCUUUUACUAAAUAUCAAAUGGCAAGGACAAAAAGUUAGGUGCAAUGGACCACCUAUUUAAUUAAAUGUUUGGCACCACACUAGUGAUUUACUUUUCAUUUCCUCUUAGUCUCGUAUCAUGUGUAAAUCUUAGGUUACAAUCCAUGACCACAUUGCUAUAAGAAGAUCCCUAAUCAAAUGUUUGGAAAUAUCGCAAUUUUAGUUUUAUAAAAGAUGGCAUGCGGUUUAACAGCUACAUGUCAACCUUGUUUAAUAACUUCUUGACCCUGAAGUGUUAUCCUACAUCUAAAAGAUUUCAGAAGUCAUUUUCCACUGUUUAUUAUCAAAAUGAAUAACCCAUAUAGCAUGGUACUAAUCUGCAAAACAAGAAAAAAUUUCAUUACUGAUAGAGUAACACUUCCUAUUUAAUAGUUUACCUGCACAUACACCUAAGGCUCCUUGUAUAUACUGUACUAUGUGAAUGUGCACGCGUAGUGUGUGCGAACAAAAAAUAGCAAAUAAUUAAAAAAAUAAUAGACUUAUUUAUGCCCAAUAAAAUAAGAAAAAAAAAACCUGUUUAAAUAUUUAUUUGUGUUUAUAACUAUUUAAUAAAAAAUAUAUUUUUUUCCUGCAAGGAUUUUAUUUUUUUAACAAAACUCUGUAGGUUUUUUUUUUUUUUUUUUGAAAUUAUCUUAUAUAAAUUAUAGUAGAUCCCACUUUUUUUGAAAUUAUUUUUUUACCUUUUUCAUUGUAGUAUACAAACCUUAAUACAUUAGGGGUAAAAUCGAAACUGUGGAAAAUAAACACGCUAUUUUAUAUAAAUUAUAGUAGGUCCCAUUUUUUUUUAAAUUAUUUUUUUACCCUUUUCAUUGUAGUAUACAACCCUUAAUACAUAAGGGAUAAAAUCGGAACUGUGGAAAUAAACUUAAGGAUAAAAUCGGAAAUAUGGAAAUAAAAUCGGAACUUAGGGGUAAAAUCGAAACUGUGGAAAUAAAGUCGGAACUUAGAGGUAAAAUUGGAACUGUGAAAAUAAAAUCAAAACUUAGGGAUAAAAUCGAAAUUUAGGGGUAUAAUCAGAACUGUUUAUAAGAAAUAGGGAUAUAAUCAGAACUGUACAUAAAAAAUACGUCAGACCUCAUGAACGACCUCGGGAAUGAGGCGCCAUAUAAGUAGUUAAGAUAAACUCAUGGUUCAUGCAUUAGAGUUAAAAUGGUUAAUUAGAACACCAUGCCAUAACUGAAUACUCGAGUGUCUGACCACAGGCUGGCCAUGCAGGACUACUGGCCGGAUUUGUCAGACCAUUAUCAUUGCUGCCAGACUGGACCAUCACCUACAUUAUUUAAAUUAACAAUGGUGGUGGCUUAAUUAACUGCCAUGAACUGCAUCAUCACCUUUGGGGCAGUACCUAGUAUUCUUAUAUGAAAAAAUUGUAAAUUUAUUUAUUUUGUUUAAUUUAGGCUUUUGGACACAUUAGUAAUUUGCUUAGAAUUUUAGGAGCAUGCGCGGAUUCCUUUUCUAGGAAUUAAGAUCAAACCUCAAGUUCUGUAACUUGCUGGCGUUUAACGUCUUUCCUUUUCUUUUUUCAGGAUACAAGUGUUUUAAAGAUGAAGUGUUCAAUAAGAGCUUAGUGGAGGUUGUCUUGAGUUGCUCAUAUGUCUAGUUGGAGUUUGAUGAGUUGUAACCUUCGGGCAUGACUCUGAUGUAUAUUUAUAUUGAUAUAGUUUGUAUUUUGUUUAGUUUUCCGCUGUUAGUUUAGUAUUUGUUGUUUAUUUAUUAUGUUCUUCUGUGGUCUAGAGGUGUGAUGUCACGUGACAGUAAUGUGACCCUACGGUCCAUGGAGGACAUAUGGAGAUCAUUAUGACUCUGUUGCCCGGUUUUGGCCUGGCCAGCUAGGAUCGGAUUUCAGGGGCGUUACAUGAGACUGCUUACUCAAGUAAUCACUUAUGUGUUAUAGUGCUUACUGAAGUAAUCGCCUAAAGGUGGGACUACUUACUCAAGUAAUCACUUAUGUGUUAUAGUGCUUACUGAAGUAAUCAUUUAUAGGUGAGACGGCUGUAUUAACCUAUUUCUAGAUUAAUGCACUACUAGGUCAGGUCACUGGGAGACUUGGCCAAAAGGGAAGUUUUAGGUCGGGGUGGCUGCACCUCGUUGAGAUCGAGAUUGCCUACGUACUCUUAGCUCGAGGGAAUUGAACUUAGAGAUCAAGCCAUCGUAGUUCUGUUCUUAUAGAAGGUAGAAAGGCGUGGAUCGUGGAUCUUGCAGAUUCUCCGUCAUCAUAAUGAGGAUUAAUUGUGUAACGCGCGAGGAUCAUCCCUGUGAAUUAAUUAUGUAACUGACGAGAAUAUUUUGUGCAUUGAAUAAGAGCACGUGUGCAUAAGCAGGUCGCUGCUCGUUAUGAGAUUGAGUUGUUGUGGUCGAGCUACUAUCAGGUAGAGAUCGUGGCGACCUGAUGGAUGAAUGACUGUGCCACGUGGCUGCUUUUGAUUGGUUGGAGUAUGUAGUACCCCUACAUAAGCCCCCUCUUUUUAGGUCGGCUGUAAAAGUCGAGCUGAAAAGACUAAGGACUUUUAUCGAUGCUGAUUUGUAGUUUUUUGAAUUUUCUGACGUGGCAGUCAUGCAGACUUGUCUGUACUAAUCAUGGUGAUCUUACGGGGAAGUGGAGGAUUUUCCUCGAGCAGUUAACUGUGCAGUUAUGGCAACUGACGCACUUCUUGCCUGAUAUAGUCUUUGCGUGGCACGUGGGUUGAUCCGACGGUGGACGUGAACCUUUUGUUAAGUGGAAAAUAACUGCAGUGGAAGUGGAUCGUCUGUUCGAUCUCAGCCGUUUACUUGUUUCGAACUGAUGGCUGGGAUUGUACGAGCUACAGUAUUUAAACUGUAGUUUUGUUGAGAAGGGUUUACCUAUCUCGCUUUCAUUUGAAUUGCUGCCGCUUUACUCUUGCGAUCUGAAGAACUUUGAGAGCUCGUGAGGUUAGUUUUCUUUUCUUUCUUUUCCCUUCAUCUUCUGUUUUCAUUUUUGUUGCUUGAGAGAAAUAUCUGAUUUGAGUGAUUCUCAAAAUGAUAACUUGAGUGGUGGUGGCGGUGAGGAGUAUGAGUCUGAAAGGACUCAUUCUGAACCCUUGUCGCCCGUUCAUGGUGUAGACCCUGAUAGCCCUCAGAGUAGCGGCUCUCACGGGGCUGACUCGUCUGACGAGGAGAUGAUGGAAGGAGACGAUGGUUCGAUGUGUAGAGUAGUGAACCUUAAGUAUGUAAAUAGGCACAUUGCAUUUAGGAAGCAGUAUGGGCUUAGUUCCAUUGAUCAUUUGGAGAUUAUAUUUUUAGGAGAUCGUUUACUUUCUGCUGAGUAUCGACCCAAGAAUCCUUUCUCGACUGUUUUUACCUUGACCCAAUUUCGAGCUGGGCUGAGGCUGCCAUUGUCUUCUUUGGUGGUCGACCUGUUGAAUGCUAUUGGUCGAGCCCCCUGCCAGAUGAAUGGCAAUUUCUGGAGGAACAUGAGGGUCAUUGAUGACCUGAAUAAGCUGCAUAAGUGGAACAUCACUGUGAAGGAUGUGUUGGACCACUUCAGCUUCAAACGUUCUUCAAAGGCUGACUUUUCCGGCUAUAACAUGCAAGUUAGGCCAGAACGUUUGCCUUUGAUCUAUCCUGUAAGUAGUGAGCCAUGGUGGAAAGAUCCCAUGCUGAUUACUGGCUCGAUCAUUGAGGGGAGCAUCCAGUUGCGUCAUGUGACUAGGAAUGAUGCUCGUAAGUUUCUGGUCGUUAGCCUUAGGAGAUUUUCCUUUUUCUGUACUUGAUUAUGUUGUAUGUUUGUGCAGCGAUCAGGGACGAUCAUCUUGUGAGAAAGAACGAUCUGAAUUUCGCUUUGAACGGCUUUGGUUUCUUGUCUGACAAGCGUAAGAUAAAGUUCUUACCCCACCUGAAGGAGCAUUUCAUUCCCAAAGGUGGUGCGAAAACCGUUGAAGAUGAGCUCGAAAGGAGGAAGUCGCUGAGGAAGGCCCAUAUGUCUUCUGUUCAUAAAGUUGAGGCUGGGCGUUCUGGUGGCAGCUCGCGUGCUGGGGAGAAGGAGCGAGCUGGUAGUAGCUCGAGGACUGGUGAGAGAGAGCGGUCUGGUGUUGCUGCUCGGAGGUCGGGGAAAGAACGACCUGUGGAGAAGGAGAGAGCUGGUGGUAGUUCGCGCCAGGCGGAGGUAGUGGCGAGCCCCCCAGUUGUGUCUCAUCCGCCCUUGCUUCCCAAACUAACUGCCUUGGCUGGGAAGAAAAGAUCACUUGCAGGGAACCUGAAGUUGAUGGAGCCUCCAACUGUGCCAUCCCCUGCUCCUGCAAAGUUUGUGAAGUCUCCUGAGACUCCUCUUAUAUCCAGGAAGACUGCUGCUCAGUCUUUGCAGAAAGGCAAGGGGGUAUCGUCCGAGUUCUGCCCUGGGCCGUUCGAUUAUCUGGAUGGCCGUGGUGAGAAGCAUGUCGUGUAUGAUAACGACAGUGCGAUUGACGACCCCUGUGUUGCCCGGGCUGUAAAUGAGGGCAUCGUUUUGGAUGCUGAUGCUCGAGCAGUGAAGUCGCAGACUUUGCUGGUGACCUGCUCGAAGAUAAACGCGGCGCUUUCUUUGGUGAGUGUGGUAAUAAGUUUUUCUUUUGAUUUUGUUUAGUCUUUGCUGACUAGACUCUGUUUGCCCUUACAGCUCAACGCAAGCUUCCAGGAGGUGCGUCUGGUUGCUGAGGUUGGUGCUCGAGCUGAGAUUGAGCUGAAGGAUCUUAACGAGAAGCUCGAGCAGGUGAAGAGUGUUGCUGUUGUUGCUGAGAGCAAGGUGAAGGACAGGGAUGCGCAGGUCGCGGCGUUGAAGGAGACGGUGGAGCAGCUGAAGGAGAAGGUGGAGCAGUGAGGGUAGACUCCGCUGGUGCUAAGGCUGCUACAGAAUACUGGGAGAACGCAUGCCAGGAGAAUGGUGUAGCGUGGAAGGCCUACUGCGACAGCUUGAUGAAAGCUUUGGAGGGGUCGCCCGAAGGAGAGGAGACGCGAGGUGGUGCUGAUGGAGCUUUGGUGCCAGCUCAGGACGCCUUGAUGGGCCCUAAUGACCAGGUCGCCAGUGGCUGUAUGGAAAUUGAUGGUUCCAGCGACCAGCCAGCGCAGCAAUGAACUAGUCCGGGUGCCAACUUUCUUGUAUUGGGUAACCUUGUGCAAAGUUUGCUUCUUGCACUCCUUGUUCUUGUAGUAUGUCUUCUUUGGUUCUCCUCAACGCAGUCCUUUGAGUUUGUGAGCUUGAGAAAACAAUUCCUUGUUUUGUUUGUAGUUGUAUUGAACAGCAUUAAUUUUGAUGAGUUUGUACUUAAGCCGUUCUGAUCAGUUAGUUUCCAGGGAGUCCUGGUAGCUCGUUCAGAAGGCAGGUAGACGAGAUGAAUGGCUGCAAGCAGGACGAACUGAAACAGUUCUUCUUGUAUGCCUUAGUUUGACUCUGCUUUUACCUGUAAUGGUUAGAAUUUCAUCAAGUAAAAAGAAAAUUCAAUGAUUUACCUUUUAUUGUCAUUCUUUUUACGUUGUCUGCUUGUAUGAGUUUUGCAAACAAGUAAUAACCAUAGUGCUGGACCUGCUGGUGGAUGAGGUCGUAUGUAUGGUUGCUUGAAUGUACAUAGGUCGUGGGAUUGAUAUGACCAAUGCACCAAGUUAAGUUGCAAAUGUUUGAACUUAACAAAAUUAAAAUCAUCAAAGGGAAUAGAGUUUUGAUAAUUUGUAGGUCGAGGGUUUAGACCUUUAAGAGCCAUUCAUGUUUGAGCUGAGAUGAAAGCAAAGAUGAGUUUAUAUACUGAAAUGUAAUGAAUAGAUGCUUACAUUUCAUUGAUAAAACUUUUUCAAGUGAAAAGCAUUCCAUGGGUUCUUAACGACCUCCCCUUCUGGUGUUUGAAGACUAUAAGAGCCGUUGCUUUGAACGUUUGUGAUAAUGUAAGGUCCUUCCCAGUUGGCAUUGAGCUUGUCAAUGAUAUUCUUCCUCUUGUUGUGGAACAUUUUCCUUAGAACCAGUUCCCCUGGUUGAAAAGAUCUAGGUCGUACGCCUUUGUUAUAGGCUCGCUUUAGUCUUUGUUGGUAUUGCUCAAGCUUUAUAACGGCGUGGUUUCGUCGCUCCUCGAGGAGAUCGAUUCCGAACGACCAGACCUGAUUGUUAAGUUCAGUGUCGACCAGAAGAGGUUUGGUCGUUCCAAAUGUUAACUCGGUGGGAAUAACGGCCUCAACUCCAUAGCAAAGACUGAAUGGUGACAUCCCAGUGGAUGUACGAGGGGUUGUCCUAUAAGCCCAUAGGAUGUUCUCCAAUUGUUGUGGCCAUUGAUCAUGCUGAUCUUCGAGCUUUUGCUUCAGGUUGUUUAGAAUCUGUCGGUUUGCAGCUUCGACCUGGCCGUUGGCUUGUGGAUAUCUAGGCGUUGACCUUGAAUGCUCGAUUUUCCAUAGGUCGUAGAAAGCCUUGAUAUUUUUGCCAACGAACUGAGUACCAUUGUCUGUGAAUACCCGUUUUGGUAGGCCAAACCUUGUGAUGAUAUUUUCCCACAUGAAUCUCUGAACAUCUGCUUGAGUAACGUUGGUUAGUGCAACAGCUUCCACCCAUUUAGUGAAGUAGUCGACGGCCACUAGAACGAAUCUCUUCUCUGAUUUCUUCUCUUUGAUUAGGGGGCCCAUGAUAUCAAGCCCCCACAUGUGGAAUGGCCAUGGUGCAGUGACGUUGAUGAGAUCAUUGGGAUGCUGAUGUUGCUUAUCAGCAAAUCGUUGGCAUUCUUUACACUUCAAAACGAAUUUCUUGGCAUUUUCCUUCAUUCUUGGCCAGAAGUAUCCCUGGGAGAUUGCUUUAUGGGCUAAGGUUCGCCCUUGGAGUGGUUUCCACAUUCUCCUUCAUGGAUUUCUUGAAAUAUCAUCUGGCCUUGUUUGGGGAUUAGGCACCGUAAUAACAAACCAGUUGCGGACCUUCUGAAAAGUUUACCCUCAUGGAGUUUGUACAUUGUGACUUUAUGCAACAGCUGAUUGGCUUCUUUUUUGUUGGACGGUAGGACACCAGUUUGAAGGUAAAUAAUGAAAGGCUCCAUCCAAGUCCCUUGGAUAUCUGCUGGAGUUGUCUCUAGUAGAUCAGAGAUUUGAUGAACAUCUUCCUCCUUGAAUAGAUAUGCGGGCUGUGUACUGAUUGCUAUAGUGAGAGCCCGCGGUCUGUCUGACUCGAUCUUAGAUGCUAAGAAUGCCAGUGAAUCAGCAUGCCUGUUGUCAUCUCUCGGUAUGUGCUCGAUUGUGAAAUAACUGAGCUUGUUGAUGAGCUCCUUUGCUUUGCUCGCAUACCUGAUUAGGUUUACCCCAUUGAUCUGGUAAUUACUGGUAAUCUGAUUGACUACCAGUUGUGAAUCACUGUACACCUUCAGGCGAAUUGCUUGUAGGUCGAUGGCCAUUUGUAGGCCUUGUAUUAGAGCUUCGUAUUCGGCCUCGUUGUUGGAGGUCGCGAAGUCGAGACGAGUUGAUCUCUCGAGCUGUGAACCUUCAGGAGAAAUUAAUACAGCACCUAUGCCACUUCCGUUGGAGUUGUGGGAACCAUCUACAUACAGUUGCCAUGUGUCAGGAGGGCUGUAUUGGACUUGCCUUGUUUCAGGUUCUGGUUCCCAAUUGGUAUCCUCUGCUGGAUAAUCUACCAAGAAAUCUGCAACGACCUGGCCCUUGACGACCUGCCGUGAAACGAACUCAAAAGUGUAAUCACCCAACUCGGCUGCCCAUCGAGCCAUACGACCUGUUUUGUUAUUCUUUUCCAGUAUAUGUCGUAAUGGCUGGUCGGUGAUUACUUUGACAGUGUGCGCUUGGAAAUAAGGUUUGAAUUUGCAAGCAGCGUAAAGUAAGGCUAAUGCUAACUUCUCCAGAGGUGUGUACCUUAUUUCGGCCUGCUGUAAGACUUUGCUUGUGAAAUAGAUAGGUCGCUCGACCUGGUUUUCUUCUUUAAAGAGUACUGCACUGAUCGCAAAAUCUGAUGUUGCGAGGUAAACGCCGAGUACAUCUCCAUCGUUGGGCCUUGUGAGAACUGGUGGAGUAGACAAAUAUGCCUUGAGAUCAUUGAAUGCCUUCUCGCAUUCUUCUGUCCACUCAUAUGUAGCCCCCUUCUUUAGGAUAUGGAGCAUUGGUCUACAUUUGUCUGAUGCUCUGGAGAUGAAUCUGUUCAGAGCUGACACCAUGCCGUUGAGUUUCUGGAUUUGUUUCUUUGUUUUUGGGCUUGGCAUGUCGACCAGGGCUCUGAUCUGGUCUGGAUUUGCUUCAAUGCCUCGUCUGGUAACUAGGUAGCCGAGGAAUUUUCCUGAUGCAACCCCGAAUAGACACUUCUCUGGAUUGAGACGCAUUCUGUAUUGUCUUAAUCUUUGGAAUGCCUGAUCGAGAUUGUACAAAUGAUCUUGCUCUUGGUUACUUUUCACUAGCAUGUCGUCAAUGUAGACUUCCAUUGUUCGACCUAGGAGGUCGUCGAACAUUCUGGUGACCAGUCUUUGAUAGGUCGCACCCGCAUUCCUUAACCCGAAUGGCAUAACCUUGUAGCAGAAAAUACCUUGCUCUGUUGUGAAAGAGGUCUUCUCUUGGUCAGGCUCGUACAUUGGGAUCUGGUUAUACUAUGAGUAUGCGUCCAUGAAUGACAGUAGCUCAAAACCGCAUGUCUGAUCGACUAGCCUAUCGAUUCGUGGCAGUGGGAAUGAAUCUUUAGGACAAGCUUUGUUCAAACUUGUGAAGUCGAUGCAGGAGUUUUCCCAUUCUUCUUUAAGACUGGUACGAUGUUGGCUAGCCAGUCUGGUGAAUCGACCUCUCUGAUGAAGUCGACCUGUUUAAGUCUGCUGAUCUCUUCAUUGACAGCUUCGUGAAAUUUGGGAGCAAGCCUUCUUGGUUUUUGCUUUACAGGUCGAUAAUUGGGAUUGACCCGCAGUUUAUGACAUGCAAUUGAUGGAUCUAUCCCAGGCAUAUCGAUAUACGACCAAGCAAAAACAUCUUUAUUAGUUGAAAGAAAAUUUACAAAGCUAUUGAACUUAUCUUCCUUCAACUCUGCACCUACAUAGAUAUAUCUCGGGUCAUCUUCUGACCCAAUGUUCACACGUACACCUGGAUCAGUACUUCCGAGAUUUAGCUUGGGGGAGCUCGCUAGCUCCUUCUGUAGUUGCUAUUUGGUGGCUUCACUCUUUUCUUUGGAAGGGCUCUUUGACUUGUUGUCGCCCUUUUGAGCCUCUGGUGAGAUUGGGCUCUUUCCUUUGACUUCAGGAGUAACGACCUUGUUGAGAUCGUCCUCGGUGAAAGUGAUGUCAGACUCUUGGCGGGCAGGGAUGUUGAAACGAGUUGCUCAUCCAGUAAUGGAGUAGACAUGGUGUAGAUGCUCUACUCGUCUCUUCUUCUCUCGAGAGACAGGGGUGUGGUUGGAUUCGUCAAUCAUGUAGACUACAUGACUGUCCGAUUCGCUGUCACUGUCGAUCUUAUGCGCGACCUUCUUAUUGAUCUGGUCGCGUAGGUCUCCUGUUGGACCUAAACGUUGGGAGAGGCUACGCCCUCUGCUGCGGACUAGGCUUGCUGAGGCCGUUCUGGCCUUGCUGUGAUUUCUUUUUGGGGAACGGGGAGGUGUUCUGGAUUCCUUCCUCACCCGUUUGCCUGUGGAUUCCUCAUUCUUUCCGAGGAUCCAAUUGUUGAGCCUUUUCUCGUCGGCCCAAGUUUGCAGUGCGCGUUUUAGAACGCGACAAUCAUCUGUUUGAUGACACCGUACCUUGUGGACUUUGCAGUACGGUCGUCCAGAUGUAUCUUCCAACUGUGUGAAGGUUGGAAUCCUGCACCAGUGGUUGUGCUUGAUUCGCUCAAAGAUGUAACCGGCUGGUCUUGUAAACCGGUGAUAUUCUCGUUGCUCAGUAGGCAACGACUUAGCCUUGAACCUCUUGCCAUCUGACCGGGGUCGCUUGGUUGAGCCAGACUCCACAUUGCUGACUACAUGAUUCUUCUCCCUCCCAGUGAGGGCUUCCUCGAGCUUGAUAUAACGAUCUACCUUUAGGUAGAGCUCGUCCAGUGAUGAAGGUCGCUUCAUGGCUAGCGACUUGUGGAGGUCGGACCCUUGGGUCAAACCGUGAGUGAAUGCGAUGGUUGCAAAGGUCUCGUGCUCCUUUGCAAAAUCCUGAAUUGAGUGUAAUUCAGAUUUAAAACAAGCAAAGAAAACGCUUAGUGACUCACCAUCUCGUUGCUUGACUUUAAAGAUUGAAUCGAUGGUGACGGGGCGCUUCUUGUUGUGGAUGUAGAAGAUGACAAAUUGCUUUUCGAGCUCGACAAACGAGCUGAUGGAUCCUGGCUUCAAUCGGUGAAACCAGUCAAGAGCUGGUCCAGUGAGGCUGGACUGGAACAGCAAACACAAAAGGUGAUCCUCCUUGAUCAGAGGAAGGGAUUUCCGGAAUCCCUUGAUGUGGUCGGUUGGAUCUACGACUCCUGCAUACUGGUCGAACUUGGGGGCAUUGAGCUUGUUCGGCAAAUCAUGUUCAAGGAUCUCCUUGGAGAAAGGAGACUCUUGGAACUGUUGGAGGGACUGUACAGCAAGUUGCUCAGCGGUGUGGCUCUUGGAAUGGUGAAGGAGAGCCUGGGAGGCUUUGAACUCCGCCAGUUGUUGGCUGAGUUGUUCGUAUUUCUGGUUGGAAUCAUCAGCGGGAACGACUCCAUGUCCGCUAUUUUCACCUUGUUGGGGGUUGGUUUGUGCGGCCUUCAAACGUGCGUUUUCUUCCUGCAAAAGAGUGAUUUGUGCAUGCAAAUCGUGGAUAGUUAGCUCUGGGGUAGUCAUUUGAAUAGAUGACUUUGAGAAGGGUGGGAGGGUUUGGGUUUUCGAUUAUAUCGAAUUCCUUGCAGUCGGCGCCAAAUGUAUUAACCUAUUUCUAGAUUAAUGCACUACUAGGUCAGGUCGCUGGGAGACUUGACCAAAAGGGAAGUUUUAGGUCGGGGUGGCUGCACCUCGUUGAGAUCGAGAUUGCCUACGUACUCUUAGCUCGAGGGAAUUGAACUUAGAGAUCAAGCCAUCGUAGUUCUGUUCUUAUAGAAGGUAGAAAGGCGUGGAUCGUGGAUCUUGCAGAUUCUCCGUCAUCAUAAUGAGGAUUAAUUGUGUAACGCGCGAGGAUCAUCCCUGUGAAUUAAUUAUGUAACUGACGAGAAUAUUCUGUGCAUUGAAUGAGAGCACGUGUGCAUAAGCAGGUCGUUGCUCGUUAUGAGAUUGAGCUGUUGUGGUCGAGCUACUAUCAGGUAGAGAUCGUGGCGACCUGAUGGAUGAAUGACUGUGCCACGUGGCUGCUUUUGAUUAGUUGGAGUAUGUAGUACCCCUACAACGACUUACUCAAGUAAUCACUUACGUGUUAAAGUGCUUACUCAAGUAAUCUUUCAAGUAAUUCACCCGUUUUAAAUUCACAAAAAGAAAGAAUAAAUCGAUUAUAAACUCUCGAGGGCAAAAAAAAAGAAAUACAUAAUUAGACUUGUGCCUUAAUAUAAGUUGUUUAAAUAGUUAUGGCUAAGAAAUAAAGAAACAAUAAAAUCAAGUCCUGGAUUAAUAAGUAGAUUAGACAUGGGCCUGAAUUUAUCUUGGACUAGUAAUCUCGUCCUGGUGUCUAAUUCCCAGUAACAUUUAUUGUUUACAGAAGGAUUCGGAAAGGAAUGUUCACAUAGUAUUUAAUUGCUUCUAUCCUUUCUCCUUUUGACAAUAUGAUUUAACAAUCUUCAAUUGGCACCAAUGGCAAUUUUCCACCAUAAAUAUCUGGGAGUUGAUCCUCAUCAAUUUCCUGGAGCAGUCUUGAAGUCACCUUGUUGUUGUCUACAAAGACAAACUAUAAAGAAACGCAGACAUGUAAAUAACGUUCAUUGUAUAUAAGAGUACGUCCAAGUUUUCACAAACAACAUUUUAUACACCUACAUAUAUAAGAGAAUUUGAAUUCGUACCUUUUUCUUUGUAUUCUUGCGAAUAAAUGGAUUAAUGAUCUUCCACAUGGUCUUAAAGAUAUAAGGCUGAUUGAUUAGAUAUAUGCAUCCAAGCGUUUCAGGGUAGUAAUCCUGCCAUCACCAGUUGGAGUUAUGCCACAAAACAAUCUAAAAUGGCUACCAUGGAUGAUAUAUAUUUUUGUUAAAAUGUAGACCAAAUCAUACAGGUGGAAAUACAUAUACAUAUGUACCUGUAAAGUUGAUAACAUCAUUGGGAUCCCAUUGAGAUCGCAAUUUGAAAAUCCCAAUUGUUUGAGGUCCAUAAUGAAGGUAAAUUGUUCCUGAUCAUUCGACAUCCUGCGCCAUAUAGUGGUAAUAUUACACUUCAAUAGUUAUAUAUAUGUAAGCACAAAUGGCUGAUUCUCCUGUACAUUAUAAGACACACCUUGCACAGAUUUUGUCCAGAGAGUACACCAAAAAUCCUGUAAAACCAAAGAGAAUUAGAUGAAAAUGAGAGGAAAAUAUAUCACUGGCCAGAAAUUUCCGAUGUGGUUUAGAAGGGCCAAGACCGAGUCAUAUAUAAUUAUUAAUUAGUUUGAAACUUAACGGAACAUACGUUUGAGCUCAUCUAGGCUAUCUUUGCUUUUAACUGGGACAUGCCUUCCAUUAAACACAACUGCUAAGGGGAACCCUUUCUUAUCAAAUCCUUGCAUAAAAACCUUCUUUUGCGAAAGUUCAUUCGGUAUUUCUGAUUCUGAAAUGAAACCAUUAGGAACAAAUGAUUGUCUCCAUUUUAGGUACUUGAGAAAUGAAUCAGAUGCCUUCUCAACGUCCAAUUUACGGUAACGAAGAAACCUCUUGAGCACCACAUCAUCAACUGCCUACACACAUUAUGGUAAAGUCUGUAAACAAUAUUAUAUAGUAAUUAAAGCAUGAACAAGGAAAGUUUAUCGAAAGUAUUACUUUUGAGGUAGGAUCCUGUUUCUGAACAAAGGAUCUCAUAAGGAACAACUUCUGCUGAUCAAUCUCAGUUUUGCUUGCCAUUUUGAUAUCUUCUUUCCUUACUUCUUCAACAUUAUUAUUUUCUUUGCUACUAGUAUCCAUUUAUUUUAUACACAAUACUGAAUGUGCAUGUUACACUAGUCUCUCUACUUCAAUUCUCUGUAUGUAGUUUGUGCAUAUUGACAAAAGUUUGGUGCAACAGAACUCCAAAUUUAAUGUUUGGCAGCAGACAAGUAAUCUGCCCACACCUUCAUUUAUAGCUUCCUGAUAAAAACGGAUAUCUUGACCCCAGAUGUCUUUUUAUACCUAUUUCAUUGUUCUUUCUUCCCUUGUCAAAUAAGCAGUUGGUAGAUCACAAUUUUUUUUUUUUGCAAAUAUAACAUAUUAACCUACGGGCAAAUUUACAAAUUAUCUAACAAAUCGAGUGCUGAGAGAUAUAGUCCCUCAUAUGAUAUAUAUAGUUACACCAUUCAUUGUCAAUUAGUUUUGAGUUAGACAACCAGAAUUUAAUAUAGUAUUCAAGCAGACUAUAACCGAUUCAAUGUUAUUCAGAUACUCUUUGGCCAGACCUAAUAAUCUCAUAAUCUCAAGGAGAGAUGACUUAAUGUUGUUUGUAACAGUCAUUCCUAAAAAUACAUUAGGCUUAGUAUAUAUAUAAAUGUUCGAUUUGUAAGCCCCAAAUAAGUCCAAUUCACCAACAAACAAAAACAAUAAAAAAUAGGCUAAACUGUCGAGUUAUGCAGCAAAGUAGGGUCGAAUUCCCAACUUAUGCAACCAACUAAAUUAGGUUUAAAAUCAUCAGCAAACUUUUAUAUUUUCCCAAUUUAUGCAAUGCCGUCAACUGAAAUCUAACAGCCGUUAUCUUUUUGCUGACUGGAAGAUUUUUAAAAUUAAAAAAUAUUUUUUCUUAAAAAAAAAAUUAAUAAUUAAAAUAAAAUAAAAUUGGUUUUAUUUCAAAAGAAGUUAAGUCUUUGGUUUCUAAACCCCAAUUUUUCGUUUUUCUACUUCUCAAUCUCUUUGAUUCAUUAAAAACAACCAUAAUUUUAAAUUAUUUUUUAAUCAUGUAAUCAUUGUUUAAUUUUGGGUUUUGCUUUUAAAAAUCUUUUUUUUGCUUACUUUACACAGUCAGCAAUAAUUAUUACACAAUCAAUAGUAAUAAAAUUUAAAAAAUAUAAAGUCAACAAUAAAUUAUUACACAGUCAACAAUAAAAAUAAAUAAAAAAAAAUACAGUCAGCAAAAUCUAACAUCCGUUAAGGGAUUGUUAACGGCAUUGCAUAAAUCGCAAAAACUUAAAAGUUUGCUGAUGAUUUUAAACCUAAUUUAGUUGGUUGCAUAAGUUGGGAAUUUGACCCUACUUUGUUGCAUAACUCGAUAGUUUAGCCUAAAAAAUAAUAGAGACACGAGAUUUAACGUGGUAAAACCCAAUCACUGAGAACAUCCACGACCGUCCUCACGACGAUAAAUAAUCCAAUAUAUGAUGUUAAACUAAUUUAAUACACUCACAAUCACAAACUCUGGUUAUAUCUCUCACAGACUAUAACACUUGCAAUUGCAUGCCCUCUGCCCUCUGGGUAUAUAUACUUUCCCUCAUACAAACUCUCUUUGUAGAUUCACUUUCAACAAUUGUCUCACUGGCUUCACUUAUUAGUAUUCUCUAGUUGUUGUUGAGAUGGUGUUGAAUACAAGGACGAUGAAAGAUUCUCACACAGAUAAAAAACUCUCUAAUGGAGGUAGAAGGACACCAGAGAAGCAGAGAUAUGUUGAAGGUUUUGUUUUGUAGAGAAAACCUUUAUAUAUCACAUGUUGGGCCUCAUAUCUAUGUCGGGCCUAACUAACCAAUAGGCUUGAAGGUCUUCAGCUCCCUAGUCCACGAAUGUGUGGAGUCUUUGUAGCCGGUCGUUACAUGAUUAAGACCAUGCAUAUCCGCAUCAUAAGUUUAGUGGAUGUUUGUCUCCGCUACACUUCUAUUUCAUAGUAAUAGCAGCAGACAAAGCAUGAGAAUCACAAGAGAUAUGGUGCUCAACAAUGAACAUCUAUGUACUAUCAUAGAAGCCAGGAAUCUGAGCAUGGACGGGGAGGCAACCACCCCCUAGAUCUAUCUAUCCCUGUAUAGAACUAGUUCCAUUAAUUACUGUAGGUUUUAAACAAAUUUUACCGUUUUUUAUGUUAUGUUAAAUGUAAACAAGUUUAUUCAUAGAGCAUGUUCAAAGAAUCAAAGCAUAUUUGUUCCCGUCACAUUGAUUACUCGGAAGGUAAAAGAUGGAUACCAUGUCCAAUUGAUUUCUACCUAUCUGAUAUAGUUCUAGAAUCUCUGUGUUCUUUGAAUGAAACAGUCCAACAACUCAAUAUUGAAACCGACACUCGGUUAUUUGACAUUAAUUUUGUGACAUUGAUUGUCUCGGUUAUCUCGCCUUGAGUUCAUUGUUAGGAAAACCAAGUUGUACGUGCAUUGUCCCGAGUCUGUGUCCUCGCGUCCUUUUGUCAAAAGUAAGUUCUUGGGUUUAGGAUGUACGUACCUAGUUAGGGCGUACGUACGUCAUGUUAGGCAGCAAACAUGUUUUGGUCAGGACGUAUGUCCCUGGUAUCAGAGCAGGGCGCUUGUUAUGGAGCGUAAUGGCUCACGUGUAGAUCCUAUGAGUGCAAUAAUGGUUCAUGAGUCUGGUCAUAAUAAUUUUAUUGCUAAAUCGUCUAAAUCCACAAAACCAAAAUCUGAUUCUGAAAAUGAUGAUAAUUUGUAUGUUGUUAGCAAUAGUGAUUGUGCUCUUCUUUACAGGCUUUCUGCAAAAGAAUGUGAAAGGUUACAAAAAGCUAAUAUUGAUUUGCAGGAAGAGUUCAAUAAAGCUAAUUGUAAUUUGUCUACUAUUUCUGAUAAUUUUUGUUUUGAAGAUAAUGGUGUUUUGCGGACUAAGGUUGAUUCUCUAGAACAACGAAUCACAUAUUGUGCAGAAAACUAUAUGCUUCAAGGGGAAGUUUAUGAAUCCAAAAUUGAAAAAUUGGAUAAGGUUAAUCUUACUUUGCAGGAUAAAGUUGAGACUCUUGAAAAACAAAUUCUUUCUGCUACAGAUGAUUCAAGUUUUAUUUCUAAAUUAUUUGAAUAAGAAAAACUUGACUUGUUGUGUAGAAUUGCAGAUCUGGAAAAGGCUAAUCAUGAAGGUGAAAAUAAAUAUAAAUCCCUUUUAGUUGAGUUUGAGGUAACCAAGAAAUAUUUUGCAUCUACUCAACUCAUAUUGCAGAACAAAACCAGAUAUGACCUUCCUAAUGCUAAUUGUAGUCGUUGUUUAUCAAGUAUGACUAUUUUUAAACAAUCUAGCUUGCCUACCCUUUUGCCUACCCCACCUAUUGAGACUAGACUUAAUAUUAAUACUUUUCGGCAUGUUUCUUUCAAAAAAGUUAAGUCUAAAGCUAAUGAUAAGGCUGUUUUUACUGAUAAGCCAUAUUGUUCUCAUAAUGGAGGUAUAGGUCUUGUUAAGGCACCAUGUCACAAAUACAAUGGUGACAUACAUGUUUCAUCUUCUACUACCACAUCUUCUUCUAAGAAUUCUUUGAGUAAGUUUAAUAUUUUUCAUUGUUCUUAUUGUGGUAGAGUUGGUCAUUUGGAUAUCUUUUGUUGGGAUUUUGAUCAACAUGUUUCAUCCUAUUCUCGUGUUUCUCAUCGUUAUAAUCAUGUUGAUUCUAAGGUUCCUUCUUGUGCAUUUUCUAGACCUUGGAAUUAUAAUGGUUCUUAUCACAGGUUUAAGAAAAACAGGUAUCCCAACACAAGGAAGUCUAAGACUAAGGUGGAAUUAGGUAAGGACAAGUGUAUUGCAAAGCUUGUUAAGGGGGAAUCUCAUAUCUUUUCAACCCCCAAGGUGUGCACGCCUAGUGCUAAACAAGUAUGGGUAAGAAAAGAUAAGUUGCAGGUUUUUCUGGACUUGCAAAAGUCUGGUAGUGUCCCAUAUUUGGGAUGAUGUAGUUUGUUUCUAGUCUUGUGUUAUUUUAAUUGCAUAUUUUUCUAACCACAUAGGCUAUUUGUUUAGUGUUUGUUUUUUGUUUUUUGUUCUUCUGUUUAUGCAUGCGUUAAUUGUUCUUUCAUUAUUCCAUGUAUGUGUUGUUGGAUGCAUCUUUUCUGAGAUAUUGGUUUAAUUCAAUUGUCUUAAAUAAGUUGCAAUUUGUUUGGGAGGUUUAGGUUCUUUUAUUAUUUCUCUUCUAUAGGCUUCGUCUUAGGUGUUGAGGACAUACUAGUCUAUGUAUUGUUUGGAUUCCAUUCCUUUUGGCUAGUUAUAGUUUGGUAACUUCAACUGUGGAUUCCUGUCAAGGAUUGUUGUAGGGCUACAUCAUACUCCCUUCGCCUUUGGUGGUUUACUGCAUGAUGCAUUUGCAUGUUGUGGGAUUUUUAGAGUAUUUUUAUACCUUGAUCCUUGUAUGAUUAAAAAAAAUGAUCAUCUGACAUCAUCUCUAGCUUUUGUUUUCUUCAUGGUCAUCAUUCUUUUUAUAUAUACCUCUUGUAAGUGGUCAAUGACUCACAAAAUCCCCAGCCAUUUGAAUGUCUUAGGCGCAUUAUCAGUUGGCUAGGAACCCGUUGGGGCUGUGAGGGUCAUGCUCUGACGGAUGCACUCAGGAGAUGUUAGUUCUUGUGUUGCACGUUACCAUGGUAUUGCACUUCUUGAGUGUGUUUUGCCAAAAAGAUGUAGGCUACACCCUACCCUCGUGUUUUGGUAAAAGAUGGAGGUGUACUAUUGAUGUAAUACUAUCGGCGGAAGCAAACAAUAAUAAGAACACCAAUUAAAUAAAUGGUUUGAACACCCAAAAACUAGGGUUCUUCACAAAAACGAAUUUAAUGUCUCAAGACAUAAACAAAUCUUCAAUCUAACCUACUUAAUAGGGUUUGCAAUCCCCUAUUUAUAAUAACUUAAACCUAAUCCUAACUACACUAGAAAAGCUAAGUAAAUAGAAACUACUACUAGGGAUGUUCUAAUCCAUAUAGGAAUCUGCAGGAAUUAUGAGGCAUGUGCCUUGCACAUGGUAUCCUUAUGCAUAUGCAUCAACUAUACUCCCACACGAGAAUGGCACUUGUUUUAAAUGGAUAAAACCAAUAAAAAUAUUCAUAUAUAUUUGAACCAGGGUCUUUCCGUAUUGCGGCCUAGACAGUGUUUCCUUGGUUUUUGUUAUGGUCUGGUUCACAUUUCAUGUUUGUCCUAUUGUAAGUGACCUUCAAAAUACUCAAUGAUCUUAGUUUCGGUUUGUUCCCGGAUUUUUUUUUUAAGGUGAUUCCCAAUUCUAAGUAUACCCGGAUUUUGGUAUAGGUCUACCCUGCUUCUCCUGCACGUUUGCAUCAUUCUUUUGAGUACCGUGGUUUGGUGUAUGAUUUAGUUCUUCGUUCUUGCAUUUUCUCAUGGUUGAGGCUUGUUCAAAUUGUAUUCGUACUUUAAUCGGAAUCCUUACAACACUUAGAAAUUUUUCCAUGUGAUGUCUCUCAAUAUUUGUGUUGUUAGUUAUUCGGUUUGUUUUUCUGUUGUUAAGGUUAGUUCUCUAUUAUUUAUUUUUUAAAUUUAAAUUAAAUUUAAAAAAAAAAAAAAAAUAGUACGUACGUCGUUAGGACGUUCGUACGUUCAGGGAAGCAGAACUUUUUUUUCCUCGAAUGUACGAACGUUGUUUGGUAGUUCGUACGUUGAACCAGGCAGAUGUUUUUUUUGGAGUCGACGUACGAACGUUGCUGCAACAGUUUCGGCCCAUAUGUUAGUUUUUAAACUCAAGUGUUUACAACUUUUGCCCAACUGUUCAAAUUCAAAUCGUUACACCAAGUAAGUCCUCCAUAUAUAUCACUACUGUUACACCAAGUAAGUCCUCCUCCAUUCUCUUCUUCUUCCGUCUCUUUUUUUUUUUCUCUUGGUGAUUCAUGGUUAUAUGUUUUUGUUUGCCCUUGGUUGGAAGGUUGGUUAUCAUUUUUUUGUCUAGCUUACAUCAUUGAAUAUAUAUAUACUUGGUGUCUUGACAAGUUUGGGUGCUCGUGUGAUUCUUAAUGGUUAUGGAACGCUUGGACAUGUUUAGUAUUAUUAUCGACUGCACAAUAUAGUGUUUUUGACUAUGUGUACUGUCUUGCACACCAAGUGUUUGCUCAAAUGCCUAAAUGAAAAUUCUCAACUGUUUUGGUUGUUACUUAGAGUGUUUUCUAACAUUCUUCGUUUGGUUCCUGUUCUGGGUAUGCAGGAAAUGCCUCCUAAGCGAGCUCGGACUACUCCCACCAAAGAAACACCCGGUUCCAAGGGUGCUUCGUCAUCGGGCACACAUCCUCCUCGUGCUCAAAGGAGUAGAGGCGUCAUUCCUUCGGAUUCGUGUAUGUUUGUUGUUCUAGCAUUGGUUGUUGCUACCACCACUUAGACUGCUCUUUUCUACUGUAUGUAGGUUCAUGGACAAUGAGCGUGUCGUCAACUUUAUUUUUCUCUCAGUAACUUUACAGGCAGAUGUUCUUGCUCUUUUUUGGUUCCAUUCCUUGGUAAUUCUUUUCAGUCGGUGUUUCAUUGACAUACUAAGGUCAGAUUAUUAGUAUUAUUUGGUUUUAAACUUCAUGCUUUCUAUUUUUGUCAUUGGAUCACAUGUGUUUGAUGUGAUUUCUCAAGGUAAUGGUUCUCAAUUUGUUUUAAGAAGGCUACAAGGUAUGCAUAAGCAUAUUUUGGUGAUGAAAUCAUGUUAUUGGUGUAUUCGUUUGUCAUGAUUUAUACUGAUUCAUGUUUUCUCAUAGGUUCUCAUCAUACUUUUCUAUGUUGGGAUAAUAUUCUUGAAUUACCUUGUUGGCUAGCUGGUGUUUGAUUAAAUGCUUAUGAGACUUGCCUAUCCUCUUAUUGUUGCUUCUUGUGCCUGGUUGAUCCUAUUUUUUUCUGCAAUAGGUUUGAUUAGAUGUGUUCUUAGUAGUCUUCUGCAAUAAUCGUCCUGCAAUGGUUUUGGGCUACCACUGUUCUACUUUGGGAUGCAUAUGCUCAAUUUGGUCAUCUAUUGUUAGCAAUUCUCUUCUAUUGACUCUUUAAUCUUUCUGACAAUGUAUGGCAUGUCAUCGGAGUCUUAGUGUUCUGGCAGGAAAUUUGCUCUGAAGUUGGAUUGUUGCUUUGUGACUUGGUGACAUCGAUAAUCUUUGCUCAUUCUUCAGAUAAAGCAUUUUUUUAUGAGCUUGAUGAUUGCUUAUCUUGUUUGGCAUAUGUUGAACUAAUUUUUGGCUUUCACUAGGGGUGGGCUUACAGGUUUAUUCCUUUUAUAUCUCUAUUCCAUUGUGUUUGGGAUAAUAUUUUCUUCUCUUUGUUUAUGAGAUUCUCUAAUUCGUUUUUGUGGUUGGAUGAGUUGUUUCAGGAACAUGUACAGAUUGGAUUUCCCCAUGGAUUCUCAAUGGAUUUUCUUAUACUUUACAUAUUUCAUCCUACAGAUACUCAUAUUUCUGUAGUUUUGUCAUGGGUUUGACUAUUUGGUUCUUGGUCAUUAUUGUUAGUUGUCGAUUUCAUUGGGUUUGGUAUUUCUUCUUUUUUGUUUGUUUGCUCUUUUUCUCUAGAUAUUUUCCUACUAUGAAGUCGUUUCUCUGGAGUCUAUCUCAGGUCCUGACUCCUUCUUCUAUGUAUAGGUUUCUCUUAGUUUCUAUCAGGGAUUCAUGUUAUGUUUUCUUUUCUUCCCUUUGUUACCUAUAUAAGUAUUCAGUGUCUUUUCACUAUUUCCUUCUUAUCUCGUUUUGGUUCUUAUCUAAUUUCCCUUCUUGUGUCUGUGUUGGUAUUUUUUCUUCUUCAUUUAUAUGCCUAGAUCUCUCUCAUGUCAUUUAGUUUUGUGUGUCAUGGAUUCCAGAUUUAUGGUAUGGUUUUCUCUUUCCUCUCUUCUUUUAUUCUUUGGUUCAUUCUUUAUUCUCGUUUUGAUUUAUGUCACCCCUUUGCAUCAUUUGUGAGAAAAAGGGGAGAUUUAUGACUCUAAUACUAACAUUCGUUUCUUCCUUUGUUAGUGUAUUCUUGGGUCAUGUUUCAGGUAUACUACAUGUAUAGGGGAGUGAAAGUGAUGAUGAUCAUAAAGUGCAUGUACAGUUUUGAGUAAGCUUGAGUAUUAAACCUUGGAGCUCAUGAAGUAUGGGGGAGUUGUUCGAGGAACUUCCGUUGGCUCUUUGAUUGUUUCAGAAUUUCUUGUUGCUUCCGUUCGGCCUCUGAUGGUUAAAGCGUCUUACUCAAGAUGGAUAUCAUGUGUUGGUGACUCGGUAUGUAUUCUACUAUGAGUGUUUUUGUAGGCAUGUUUUAUAAAUGUCAUGGUUUGGGUUUGUAUGCACGUUUUAUAAGUGCUACUAGAGUCAUAGGUUUUUGUCAAAUGUCAAAGGGGGAGAUUGAAACCGGCACUCGGUUAUUUGACAUUAAUUUUGUGACAUUGAUUGUCUCGGUUAUCUCGCUUUGAGUUCAUUGUUAGGAAAACCAAGUUGUACGCGCAUCGUCCCAAGUCUGUGUCCUCGCAUCCUUUUGUCAAAAGUAAGUUUUUGAGUUUAGGACGUACGUACCUAGUUAGGGCGUACGUACGUCAUGUUAGGCAGCAAACAUGUUUUGGUCAGGACGUAUGUUAGGACGUACGUACGCCCAAGCAGGUAGCGAACUAUUUCCGUGUGGGGACGUACGUACGCUGUUUCGACGUACGUACGUCCAAUGUAAAAUCUGCAAAGUCCGGCCCAUUUUCUAUGUUUCCAAACCCUAACUAUAUAUAGGGUUUCUCUACCCAAUGAACAAACUAGUUCUUUGGUCGUCCAAUUCAUCUCUAGUCUUGGAGUUUGUUUAGGUUUUGGUUUAGGUUGUUUUGGUGAUUGAACUCAUCUUCUUCUUCCCCAUUCAUCUUCUUCUUCAUUAUUGAAUAGUGAUUUAGCUUCGAGUCUUCUUGUGUGUUCAUCAAGAAGUCAAGUAUCUUUGUGUGUUCAUCAAGGAACUCUGGUGUAAGCUUGUUACAUAGAUCGGGUUUGAGUCUUCUUGUGUGUUCAUCAAGAAGUCGAGUGUCUUGUGCGUACAUCAAGGUGCUCUGGUGAAGUCAAGGUGUUAGAGAUAACCGGUAGUGUCAACUCGCAGUGAUUGCAGGUAGUUGAUAGGUUUGUACAUCUCUUUUCAUCUAGUGGAUUUAUUUGUUGUCGCAAGGACAACCGUGGACGUUUCCCAUAUUGGGUUUUACCACGUUAUUGUGUGUUCUUUAUUUGUUUGUCAUUUCAUUAUUUGCCUUAUUAUUGUUAUAUUGCACAUAUAUUGGGUUUUCAAAUAUGGCAUUGCUAGAAGUAGACUAAUUUGGAUUUUCACCAUUCAUUUUUGCCAGCACCCAUCCAGACUUGAGAUUCUUAAAGUUGUUUUGGAGAUUGUAUACUACAAACACAAUUAAAAAACACUCAUCCUUACAAAUGUAUACAUAUAAGAUAUAGAAAAAUGUUCAUGUAGUAUUUAAUCUCUAUUAUUUCUCCUGUUGACAAUAUAAUUAACAUUCUUCAAUGGUACUAAUGGCAACUUUCCACCAUAUAUCUCUGGGAGUUGAUCCUCAUCAAUGUCUUGUAGCAGUCUUGAUGUCACCUUCUUGUUAUCCACAAAGACAAACUAUAUAUAGAAAUACAAACAUGUAAAUAAACUUUAUUAUAUAUGACUUGAGUUUUAAUUUUGGGAUGAAAUCUUUAGUGAUAAGCUUGUUGCAUAGACCUAUAUACAGUAAAACCUCGAUA